AUACUUAAUUGACUAGUAAUGAUUCUGCCACCUAGCAUUUUUGGAGGAGUUGCAAACGGAUCCGCCGGUUCACCAAUCAUUGACGGCUCUAGAACCGCUAAACCUACAUUACACGCAAUAGUACCUAGAAUUACUACUGGAAAAAUGUAUAAAAGAUCGUUGGGCCACGCGGGUUCCCCAUAAUAAUUAUGUCCCAUCCCUUUAGCUAAUUUUGCUCUUAAUACAGGAUCAUUUAAGUCAGGUUUCUUUGUUAUUGGGAUAGGUGAAUUCUUUAGGAUCCAUCCCCCAAAGGAACCGGAAUAGGACGAACGAACCGGCCUCCGCGGAUAUCUUUGCUUCGGAACAAAACAAUUAGCAUUAGGCUCGGUCAACUGGAAUGUGUAUUAUCCAUAUGGGAGAUCUUCCAAUCGAGAAGAUCCAUCGAUCUGAGACGAAGAGAAAGGGCCCAUUUUCUUUACUUAUUCAAUGAUAAAUCUGAAAAUAAGCAAUAGGUGACUUAUGUUAUUGGCUACCGUACUGCAGAAAUUUGCUUUUGGUCUAUGGCGAGUGUAAUGCAUUCUUCUAUUUUCCUUUUGUUUUGUCUUUGUCAUGUGAGUUGCCUCUGCUCAUAUUUGCUGGUUUGCUUCAUUAGUUAAUUAUUUUUGGGGGUACAUUUUCUGUAAAAAAAAACAUAUUACAGAUCCUUGUAUAACCAUCUGGUGUCUGCAUAAGUGCAAACAGGUUGGUAGUCUGAUUGGUUUUCUUCUCUUGUUAUGUUUCAGGAUCCAGAGAAUCCUACGGUGAUACUGUGUGACUCGAAGCUUAAACAACUCUUUGGACGUGAAAGUCUUACCGCUCAUGGUGUCUCGGAGUUGCUUUCAGACCACCUUUACACGCAAUCUACCAAUAUCUGACUGGUUAGUUACCGGACUUUCUCUUGGCAAAUACGUUUCCCUUCCUAGUCGCGCUUGUUGGAGAAUUUCAGUCGUCUGCCUUUUGGCCCUGCUUUGCCCUCUGUUAAAUCUGCCGCAAUAGUAAAAGGAGUCGACCGACCGCAGUCAAAUUGGUACUGCAAAGUUUCGGCCUAACCGAAUUUAGUUGUUCUAUUCAAUCUGUAGAUUUCUGACCUCACUCAGCUGUGCCAGAUGCGACUGUUUGGCUUGUUGGCUGCAGGCGAUACGAUUUUCUGGACUCGGCUGGGCUAACAUCCUGGGUAGUAGGCGCUGAUGAAAGGACAAGGGAUCUGCUCAAAUUAAGUGUUGUAUUUGUAUCCUCCAUAUUGGUGAAGACUGAUUUACAGUAGUAAGGGAAAAGGAAAUGGCAGUUGUGUUGCAUACUAUCUAGUCAGACAUAGUAGUCUACGUGACUUGGAAUGAUGCGGCGUUAAACUAAAAAGGACAGCGAGAGCUGAUGUAAAUUCGGCAGCCGUAUACCGUAGGCGCGUGCGUUUUCUGGUAAGACUCUCUUGCAUUGCUAGUGCCCUAAGUUGACUCGAGACAUCUGUACCUCGAAAUGUUGCUGUGUUAGGUGAUACCUAACCUUAAUACAGUUUAGAUCGUUAUCCUUACUCAUCCUUUUCCUGAACCCCUGCAUGUAUCAUCAUUGUGUGUGCAUCGUAUGCGGCAGCAGCUGUUUACGAAAGGAACAGCUAGCUACUGCUUUUUUCUGUUCCUGCAUGAUGCAGGCCGUUUACAAGAUCCUGCCUACUGUACAAGGCUAGAUACUUGCUCCUUGCCCUCCUGGUGGUGCUGCUGGUGGCGACGGCGACGACGAAGCUACAAGUUCUUGAGCAAUGCGUAGAACAGCAGCAUGACGAGGAGGCCGAUGACGGCGCAGAAAACCAUCGUGCUCCUCUGCUUCUCGUCGAGGGUGCCUUCUGGCAGCACCUUGUGCACGACGGCCAGGACUACCGCGUCCAGGUUCUGCAGUCGCAAAAGAUAAAGGAAUCUCAAACUGUUUUAGACCUUGUUUCGCUAUCUGUUUGCCAUUGAUCGCAUCGUGUGCUUGCUUGCCUGCUGCAUGAUCCCAAGAAUCCUCUGGAGCAGCGGCACGCAGGUCUUGUUCACUUGGCUGCGUGCGGUGCGACGGCGACGGGGAGACAAGGCGGUUAUUUAGCCGGUCGUUCUUUUGCUGCACGUGCAAGCAUGCGAAAGCAGCUAGCAGAAGGUACCUGAUGAGCAGGAGGCCGCGGUAGACGUGGGUGGUGGAGACGUUGCAGUCGAGGUCCCAGGGCAGCUUCUUCCCCUUCCACUCUGCAGAGCAAAUGGUUCAGGGCCAUGCUGAAAAAAAACCCCACGGACUGACUGACCAAGCAAGAGCAACAAAGUGCUGUUUCGACCGACCUAGAGACCACUUGACGCCCAGGUCGAAGCCUGCCUCGUCGUCCGGCGACGGCUUGAGCACGAACGACACGUGGUGCCGGACCAUCAGCGCGUGGAGGAGCAGGAACAUGUCCUGCAGCAACAACAACAACAAGCUAGUAGGGCCUUGUUAGAUACGAUUUGGCUGUCUCUCCUCUCCUAGGAUGCAUGAUUAGUGAACGCUCGUUAAUAGGAUCUCAGCUCGUCGUCGGUUUCACCUUGCCCAGCCGCGGAACGUCGACGGACCGGAGGUUCCCGAGGAAGUAGAGGCACUCGUCGCCGAGCAGCUCCAGCAGCUCCCUGACGCUCCGGUUCUGGAUGGCCGAGUUGAGCUUCACCAUCCUCAUCACGGCCCGGAGCCUGUCUCCUCCUCCGCCGCCGCCGAACAGCCCUCGGGCGCGGAACUUCGUGCCGGCGUCGGCGCGUCCUUCUCGCGCCGCCGGCGGCAUCCUGCCAUGUCUCGGGACGGUUUUGGGUCGGCGGUGCGGAGGAAGACAGUGCGGCUGCCGGUGACGGCGACGAAGCGACGACGGGAGGGGAGGAGGAGGAAGACGCGGCAGCAGCAGGGUGGAGUCCAUGGAGCCGGAUGGAGACAGCAGGAGGUGCGAAAAGGACGUGCCGCCGCCGCCGGCGUCUUAUACGUCGCCGAGGAGUCGGUCUUUGCAGGCGAUCCGUGCAUGACCGGCUCGCAAGCAAAGGAUUGGAUUGCAUUGCAUGCGAGGGAAAGGGAAGAAUAGAAGGAGAUGAUGCAUGCUCUGCCGUGCAAGAGCGCAAGCUAGGCUGAGGAAUUGGGCCGGUUUGCCAAGCAAAGCAAGGAAAUGAUGCUCUUCCAAACUUGGGUUAGGGUCCAUGCAUGCCCCCAUAAUCUAUAGGGUACCUACGUCAAGCUUGUAUUCGCGGAGUAUUUUGUGUGAGCACGACAGAAUGACUUAAAAAAAAUCAUGUUCAAAUGUUAACCAUCCGGCUCCCCAAAUCUCUCGGAGGGAACCGUGGAGCCAUUCCAUCCCAACGGUCUUCAAAACCAAACGCUACGGUAGUGGAGCUAGUUGGGAACUUGGGAUGGAGCGGCUCCGUCCGAACUUUUUUUAGAUAGCCAGAUGAUUCAGUAUCUGAGUAUAAUUUUCCUUUUUAGAGUCAUUCUAUUUUAUAUAAAACCAAUCCAAACAAUAAAUUAGGAGUAGAAUGGCUCCUACUCUGAAACUAAACACUGCCUAAUGCUUGCACUCUAAGCAAGGGUCAAAGUGAGUCCCAGCUGCGGAGGUACGCAGAUGUAAUGGGCCUGUUUGGUUCAGCUUUUUUUCUGACCAGCUUUUCUGAAAAUCUGGCUGUGGAGAGAAUCUGGCUGUGGGAAGAAUCUGAGUAUCAUUACGAUUACGUGUGGAGGAAGAUAAAGUUGUUCAUAGGGCUCAGGAUCUUGAAAGUGACGGAUUCCUACUAUUACAACGACUCAACUGAUUAUGUGUUUAUGUUGAUUUUGAAUGGUUUUUGUUCCAACGAAUUUUAUAAAAGCUGGCUGAAAAGCCGAGCGUUUGGCAGUCCGCAGCAGCUUUUGGUGGCCAGAAGCUGGCAGAAGCCGAAACAAACAGGGCCAAUAUGUCCCAAGUCCACGGUCAAACUAUUAGCCCAAAUAGAGAUCUCUUUGACAAGUAUUUAGUGUCACACCCGGAUUUAAGGGUAAAUCCAGACACAUCUUAAUGCUAGAAUCAAGUCUAACACAUAUGAUCACUUAUGAUACAGAAAUCAAUGGCAUAUCUUUAUUAAAUAAUAGAGGUUUUGUACAGAAUAGCUAAAUAAAAUAUAUCAUAUGACGACAACGAUCAUCCACAACCAUAGUUGACUGAGAGACGACAGUCUAUACCUCUCCGAACUCAUUGUAGAAUCUUUCAUGAUCCUCAUCUUGCGGUACAUGUUUUUAACCUAGUGUGAUUAUAGCAAGGGUGAGCUCUCAUAGGGUCAUCGCUCAGCAAGUGUAGAGAAAAGUGCAGUGUAAGGCUUACUAUGGAGAAUGGUUAAGGCUAAACAUUGCUUUUAAUAAGUUGUUCAAAAUUUUAUUAGCAAUUACUGUACGUAUAAAUGUAUACCAACCCAAUUAAAUAAUUGAUCAUAGUUAAUAAUAAAUUUCACAAUGCAAUACAAAUGAUAGGUUAACUUUAAUUCCAUAAAUUACUCAUGAAAGAACCCGCUACGGUGUCCGGACUGUGACAGCCCUCCCAAGUUAUCAGGCUCAAAUGCACGAAUCCUUGCCUUACUGGCCUAAAUGGCUGUGCACGUGUACCGGGCAACUUAACAAGGCUAUCGAGUUCGCCAACUGGAACUCAUCAUCCCAAGGAUCUCCCACAUAACAGGUAUAUUACAGUAAUCACAUUUGAUACACAGACAUUGGAGAUAGAGCGGAAGACUUUUACAAAGUACGCUUUACAUUCCAGAACUCAAGUUUUACAUGGUAGAAAGAGAUGUAUUUAUUACAAGUCCUGAUAGUACUCGAAGUGCAUAACUUAACUACAAUAAUUGGAAGGGUGAAGCCUCUCCAUAAGAGAUAUAUAAAAACAUUCUAAGCUUCAAGUCCUCCACAUGAAGUAACUAACCCAAAGAUAAGGGAAUAAAACUUCUCCUACAAAAACAACAAGGGAUAAAAACCUGAGUACGCAAUUACUCAGCAAGACUUACCCGACUAAAGAAAAGACUCUCAAGGGUAUGCUGGCUUUUGGGAAUCAAGAUAAAGCUCAUCAAAGUUCAAGGACUCAUUUUGCAGAAAAGCUUACUAGAAGUGGGUCCUUAAGCCAAGUUUUAUUUCACAAGUUAGUUUAUUACCUGAAUCUUCUAGCCUGAAUCUAGCAUUUUCCUAAUCUAGAUCAUUCACUUGACCUACACUAGGUUGCUUUUAAAAUCCAAAUUUUGUUUCGCUUGUUAUCUACGAUGAAGGGCAGCAAUCCAGUCUUCAUAUCCAAGAAGUAACGACGAUCCGGAUCGAUUAAUACCCAGCUGGGGAUCUCCAACCACACGACAUAUGUAGCACUUAACCCUUGCAUAUGUCAACCAUUCCCACGGAUCCUCCACUACAUGAACCGGCCCGCGCUACCCGGGAGCACAUUACCAUACCAUUUAGCCUCUUGCCAGGAGGGUAACUGCUACUCCCACCAUCUCCCACGCCCAGUGCGCGGUUGUCUUUUCACAUAUGGAAUAGCCGGGUUCAGGCUUACCCAUGACGAGGUAUGUGGCCAGUUAAAAGGUCCUAGAUCAUCAGACCAACAAUCGGUACGGUCCUUAAUCGACACAGAUGGGCGACCUUUCCUGCUCAACGUCUGGUCCCAUUUUAAACUAUUUCAAAACUUUGGCGCCUGACAGAGGGGCCAUUCCUGGAUAAUGAAUUUAUCAACGUUUUGAUGCCUUCAUUAUUCCAAGCCCAUUUUCCUUUUGUAAAAACAUGAGUCACAUAUCAUAAAACAUUUUUCUUAGUCUAUCAUCAUGACUAAGCAUCUCUAGUUUUUAUAAAACAGGUGACAAGGUUUGGUAAUCAACCUUUCAAGGAUGGUAAUGCAUAAAGGGUUUAAUCAAUCAACUCCUAUAACCUAAUGCAGCAUAUAAGUGAUAAAAUUUUGUAAACACAAGGAAGGUGGAAAAUGCACCGGGGCUUGCCUUAUUGCAGCAGAAGAUCCCAAAAUUAUUCUACUCUGGUAAGUAGUUAGAUGAAACUCCACCACUGGAUCAACAGGCACUGAAGUGAACUCCUUCAAACAUCACUUUUUCUAGGUGUUCUACAUGAAAUGAUAUGAAUAUGAAUGUUUGCUUAUGUCAAAGAGAAUGCAACUCGUAAAAGAGACAACACAGAUUACUACUAGACUAAAUCUAUAAUCCAGCAUCUUAAGCUACAAUUACCAGGGAACUACUUAACCCUAGACCUCACCACCUAUCACUCCAAAACUUGUUAAGCCACCUCAUCACUUCAUUAAGACACUAGGUGUCCAAGUACUCAAGGUUGAAAUCCUUUUUCUAUUUUGAGCAACAAUUAGGUUACUAAGCAAACCAUGUCCAAACAGCUUCAAACUUUACCCAGGAGCUAAUUGUUCAAGAUAAACUUACAUAAAUUUUCCCAUAAUUUUUAUUGCUCUAUUUUCAUUGAGUGAUUUAUUUCACUAAUGGCAAAAGUAUUUAUAAUUAAGUGGAUAUUUGACGACCAAAUGAAUAUGCCCCAAAAUGAACCAAAUCUUACAGCGAGUGAAUCUAAGCUUACGUAAUACCGAGUCGAGUGGAGGUUCGCCAAAAUGGUGACGAAUCAAAUCCGGGCAAUAUACAGAGAACCCGGCGAGCGACGUUCUGCACUCCACUAUUCUAUAUUAUCUAGUUCCCUUCAUUUUCAACUAGUUGCAGCGCUGCAAUUCACACGUAUAGCCACAGGAUUGACGUCGAUGGUGCAAGCCGCUAGUCGACUUCCAAGUUCCGACCAGAGACGCAAUACACCGGCGUGACUCCAAAUACGAAGUCCACAACAAUAAUUAUACUCGAUCUAGAAUAUACACAACCAUUUCGUCCUCUAGAGAUCACAACCACUGAAUGACAUCGGCCACCAAUAAAAGCUGCUGCACUCCUGAAGAUCGAAGCUGGGAGGCCUCACCUUCGAACGGAUGAAGGGCACGAUGGUGACGUGGCUGGAGGUCGAACACAGCCAGCGAAGUUGACAACCAGCGAAGUACGGGUGACGGCGAAGUCCCGAGGUGACGAACAGGGGCAAGUGUCUGAGCGUGCGAUGGAGGGCGCGCGACCAGAGCGUUGUGUCGGUGUGCACCAGGAAGUUGAUGCCGAGUGCACAGUGAAGAAGGGGACGGUGGCCUUCGCCGAGGUGGGUGGAGCUCAGUGCCUGCAGGACGGUGACGCGACGAGGCUGUAGGGCGAGCGGUUUCGUGCUGAGCAUAGAGGUAGACGAUGGCUAGGCUGCGGCGAACACGGUUUGGAGGAGAGGUAAGUCCCACGGUGGCGAGGUUGAGCGUAUGUCCGGCGAACACCGGCGAGGAGAGACGCGGUGAUGGUGAGAGCGCUGAGCACGGAGUCGAGCGAUGGAGAAAAAGUGUCGGCGUGGUGGGAGACACGACUGGCGCUGUCGACGAGAAGACCGGUGAGUAGGACCUUAAGCACAGCGCAAACAGUAGGUCCGGCGAGCCAACACAGAGGCAAGCAGCUGAGCGACGGUGGUGGAGACAUAGGCAUCUUGAUCACCAGUAUAAGCAUGGCACGGACUAGCAGAAGUACCGGCUGAGGAUUAUUUAGGAGAUGUCCAGCGACUUCCGGGGAGAUAUGGAAGAGAGAAAAUAUCACGAGAUGGAGUAGUGUCCAGUAAUUUCCAGGGCUGAACAAAGAGGCUACGUGGAGGGGAUAAGGAGGAAUUUGGUGUACACGAGAAGGCUUCCAGCCGAGCACUAAUUGGAUAAGAAACAGAUGACGUGGUUUGGAGAUAAGGAUGGCUGGGAUAAUGACAAAGAGUGAGCAGUGGGAGAGACGCUUCAGGAGUUUGAGCGUGUGAGAGAGAUGACGUGCUCAGGAUAAGGAACGCUUAUCGCAUCAGCUAAGCGGCGACAAGGAGUAGAAAUUGGAUUGAUUGCUCUUCAUUUUGCUAUAAGGUUCAGCUGUAGAGGGGUAAGGAGCAGCAAGAUGGAGGGGAUGAAAAUAGAGUGCAUGAACUGAAUUUCAGUUCAGAAAGCUGAAUUCAGUGAACUGUUUCUGAUCUUCUCUCCCAACUAAUCUUUCAAAAUUAUUUUCAAAUUUGAAUAACCACCUUUAAAUUCCCAAAAGCAAAAUUUGCAAAAUUUUCAAAGUUCAAAGUCCACUACGUGAGGAAUUAGAGCCCUAACACCAAAUUCCCCAACCUGGAACAAAUUUCAGUUACCAUAUGUUUGACAGCGCGGUUUGGAGCACGAUUUGCUUCCAGUUUUAAGCGAUGAUAGGAACAUAAUGUUUACUAGGAAUUGUUCCCCUACAGUAGAUCUCCAGGUUUGCCAUAAUACCCACAGAUCAAAGGCGCAAGGAUUAGAAGCUAAACAGCACUAAAGCUGAGAGGAACUCACUGCCUUUCUGAAAUUCAGCAAACUGAAUUGAGUCCGAUUGCACCGUGCCUCUCUGCUAACCCCCCCUUAAAUCUCAUGAUUCCAAAUAAUAACAGGCCGACCUCAGUUAAUAAAACCUGUUCAUAAAACAUAACUCUACAAACUUGCUACAGAAAUCCUAGGUCAAAAAUUCAUGGAUCAAAAGUUAUAGUGCUCCAAAGUGGGGUGAAAACUCAAAUUCAGCUGCAUCAAACUGAAUCAAAAACUGAACACACAUGCCUGGCAGAGAAUGUUUGGGCACAAUUUACUUCAUUUUUGUGCAGCACCAACCAAAACUUUCUUAAGGAGAUUUGCUCACCAUUGGUCUUCAACUUUGCUGUAGAGACAUACCCCAGAACUCCAUGGAUCAGGCACAAAGAAGCUCUAAAGUUGCACAAAAAAAAAAUUAAAAUUCAGGUUUAGUUAGUUGCACUAAGUAUGAAAUCCAAAUCUGUGAGCUCCAUUUUGGACCACCUUUUCUCCAAGUUCCAAGUAGCUUUAGGGGCCUAACCUUUAACCAAACUUAUACACCAACAUGUGGUAUUUCACUUUGGUACAUAACUUUAACCCAUAGCUAUAUGUAUCAGCCACUAACAGGCCUCCAAAGUUGCUUCAGAAUAUAAAAUCUUCAGUUUCAGAGAUUACUGUCUGAAACUCCACAAGUAUUACAACCCUAUUUUGGACCAGUUUUACACCCAGUUGCACAUGGUUUUAGGAGCAAGUUGUCUAAGCAAAUUUGUAUCCCUAGUGUAGCUCUACAACCUUGUUAUAAUGUCCACCUUGAAACUGUUUAUAGAUCAAAAGUUAUGAGGACCCAAAAACAGCUAGUUGAUAUUAUUUUCAGCAAACUUCAAAUCUGAUUCAAAACUGAAUUAAGCAUUUUACUCUAGCUUUUCCUCUAAAACAUGGAGUUCUCCAUACAUGAAAGUUGUUCAACUCUCCAACAUCUACAACUUUGAUAUAUGGAUCCCUAGCAAAUUCUCUCUAGAUUUAAAAUUCCACUUUUGGGCAACUUUAGUGUUUCAUUUGAGAUUGUUUUCUCCAGUCAAGCCUCUCAUCUUUUGUCCAUCAUUUAAAGGUAAAGUUGGCCUUUAACUCAAGGCCCAACUAUGAUACAUAGUUUCCAUGGCCAAAGCAUCUUUAGCUUAGGAGCGGUUUACUUGCACUUGAUCUCUCAUUAACUCUCAAACUUCUCUAGCUCUCAACAAGACAACACACUAUCCUUGUUUCGAAAUUUUUAGACCUAGUAGAUGCAUUCUAGGUGUAUCAAGCAAGAUUAUGAUGAUGCAUAUGAUGUAAUACCAAUGUUUUAGUUCUCGUAACACCAGGGGUGUUACACGGACCGAAGGCGAUAUAGGAAUCCCUCGUCCGAAAAGCUAUCACAGACAGAUCGAUCCGAAGACCUCCCUAUACAUGGCAGCUUCUCCACCCCGCUUGCCUCUUUCGGGAAACGAUUAACUCAUAGUAGCUUUCUUAAUUAAUCAAUUAAUGACGUCUUAUUCCACCUUUAUGGUAACACUGUUAUCUCCUUGUGGUAGCUUUUCUAAUUAAUCGGCCAAAAGUGUCCCAUUCUAUGAUCAUAUGGGUCGGCGGCUACGGGAGUUCAGUGGGCCAACGGGUGAAGCAACGGCCCACAAAGGCAGGUGAAGUCUUCUUUUUUUAUAUUUUAUAUUUUCCGUUUCGAAUUUUAUAUUUAAAAUUUUAAAUUCAAAUUCCAGUCCGAGUUCAAAUUUAAUGCACAAUAAAAUAAAAACUCUAGCAUGGAUGCAAAGAUAUAACUUUUUUAUCACUUUAUAAUCCUAUUUAAGCAAGUAUUUUUAAAUAUGCAAUUCUUACAUACGAAAAAUAUUUAUAUCAGGAAAAUAAUUUAUAGGGUGUAGUAUUUAUUAAAAGAUUCUCUAGCCUUCACAUUCUAGAUAAUAUCUCCAAAAUACAUUAUCCAAUAGCUUAACUUAUAUAAGGAUCUUCCCAUAUUUCUUAUCUUCUUUAUAAGUGCACAAAAAAAACUCAAACUUUAAGUUUGAUCCAUUUUGGAGAGUAGCUUUGAAAAGAAAGGGAAUUCUUGUUAGCAAUUUUUUUAUCAGUAUAGUAUGACAAUCCCAAACUAAAAUUUUGAGUGUUACAUCCAGAUCCGUUCUAAGAACGGCGCACAUGAAGUUUGGAGGCCUGGUCGGCCCAUGGGAACGUUCUGGGACGCGGAGCUGCUGUUGCAGUGCUUGCACUAAUAAAGCCAUUGGAGGCUUGACGGUUGCCAAUGCCAAUGCAAUGUUUGGUUCCUUCCUUCCUUCCUUCCUUUCUUUCUUUCUUUCUUUCGUGGAACUUCUAUCAGAAAUGUCUUUGCCCUGAGCCUGAGGACUGCCUAAUUGUGUGUCUCUGUUUGUUGACAACGCCAGGGGACAGGAGGACAUACACUCGUGUGGACCACGCAGAGAGUGUCACACGUCAGCCGCCACGCGCUCCCCGUAGCGUACGCAAUCUCCCGGCCACGCCGCCGCCUGGGCAGGCAACGGUGCCCUUUUUCUCUCUCGGCAUGUGACUGAGUGGUGCAGAAUGAGCGCACGCGACGGCCUGGUGGCGCCAGCCAGUCCGUCUGCGUCGCCGGCGCGCGCACGACACAAGCUUUUCGCCUUUCUCUUGACGCUGCCUGCCGCCGGUACGGUGACGGUGACUGGGCCGGCGGCGGCCGGCGGUCCGACGACGAUCCGUGACGGUUUUUUGAACGCCGACGAGUGCAGCAGGACCGUUCGAUCUCCUCGCAGUAAUGCAUGCGCUACUGGUCAACGUAUAUUCUACUAAAGUCAGUCAGGCAGCACAUCAGUAAUGAAUCCGGCACGGAAAAGAAAAAAAAACUUGUAUACGUACACACGGACACAGAAGCGAGUGAGACCCGACACGACGGCUAGAGCAACUUGUUUGGUGAGGGGACCAACCAAACCUUUUGGCCAUAAACUUCUCCAAUGUCAAACAACAAGAGGGUGCUCUAGAUAUUGGGUAACGGAGACGAUUGGACGGGAUAUUGUGUGGCCAAGGAUGCAACAGUCUGCUUUUUAUGUAUUGUUGACGUCUUUUCGGAGCGUCAAACACUCAAUAAGAACCGUGGCGGUGCCCUCUGCACAGGGCGGACGGUCCGCGCGCGGGGCCGGACGGUCCGCGGCCUGGUGCGAGGCGCGGUGGUACUCUCUGCGCAGGGGCGGACUGUCCGCGGCCUGGGGCCGGACGGUCCGCGGCCUGGUGCCCGGCUAGGGCUUCUCUGCCUGACGGCCGGACGGUCCGCACCCUGGGGGGCGGACGGUCCGCGCGUACGCAGAGGCGGCGGAAGUCGCCGGCGGCGCCUGGAUCUCGCUCCCAGGAGGGACCCCGUCGGGGAGGAGAGAUCCUAGGUGGUGUCUAGGCUCGGGCCGGCCGACCUAGACUCCUCUAAUCGACGUAGAGCCGAAGAGAGACGAAGAAUUUGGGGAUUGGAUAGCUAAACCUAAACUAGACUAGAACUACUCCUAAGAUAAAAUGCGAAAUAGAAGUUGUAUUGAUUCGAUUGUUGAUGAUUACAAAUCGGCCGUAGACCUCUCUAUUUAUAGAGGAGGGGGGCUGGACCCUUUACACAACUGAUUCCGAGCUAAUUCCGCAAAUAUAGCUAACAACCGUAGCACAAAACUCGGAACCCUAAUCUGUUCUGCGCAUGCGCGGACCGUCCGGCCCACAGGCGCGGACCGUCCGGACCGCGGACCGUCCGGCCUUAGGGCCGAACCGUCCGCUGGCUCAAUAUGGCGCUCAACAUAUGCCCCCCUGCCUUUUGGUGGAGCUGAGCAAACCAAAAGCAACUAACUCGAUGUGAUCACAUCGGUUCUCUUAGGCAUCUUGCCACAUACUAGGAUGGUACUGUUUGAGGAAACGCCCAUUCAAAGCCUUAGGCAAAUCCUUGCCUUGUAAUGUUUGUAGCAAAUAGGUGUUGCCAGACAUCACCUGUUUUACUUUAUAAGGACCCUCCCAACUUGGCGACCAUUUCCCGAACUUCCGGUCUUUACUCCUUAGAGGCAGAAUGGUCUUCCACACCAGGUCCCCUACUUGAAAUGAUUUUGCUUUGACCUUCUUGUUGUAGGCCUUGGCUACCAUGAUCUUGUCCUUUUCUAUUGCUCCCAAAGCUAUCAUCCUCUUGUCGGUCACCUCAUCAAUAUUAUCCAUCAUUGAAUUAUAAUAAUCAGUAGCAGUUAGAUCAUUUUGUCUGGCGAACCUGACUGCAUUCAAACUUAUUUCCACAGGAAACACUGCUUCCUUGUUUCAGCAUCCACCAACCUUCGGCUUAUAUAUGUCACCACAUGCUCCUUCCCCUCGGUUUCUUGUGUCAGAACAGCCCCAAUGACCUUAUCCUCAGCUGCAAUGUAUAAUCGGCAUGGUACUCCUGCUCGUGGUGCUUUUAAUACGGGAGCCGAAGAUAAGUAUUUUUUGAUGAGAUCAAAUGCUUCUUGUUGUUCUGCCCCCAAGCGAAUUCGGCAUCAUUCUUAAGCCGAAGAAUAGGGGUGAACGCAUCAAUCUUCCCGGCUAGGUUAGAAAUAAACCUUCGUAAAUAAUUCACCUUGCCGAGAAACCUCUGUACCUCGACCUUACAGGUCGGAGGUCCCACAUUCCGAAUAGACUUGAUUCGGUCAGGGUCUAUUUCUAUACCAUGUUCAUGUAUGACAAAUCCUAAAAACUUACCAGCCGACACUCCAAAAGCACAUUUACGUGGGUUCAUUUUCAAACCAUACUGACGCAUUUUAUCAAAGGCUUUGCGCAAAUCAGCUAUAUGAGAACUAAACUCAGCCGAUUUGACUACAAUAUCAUCAAUGUAAUCUUCCAUAGUGUUUCCUAACAAUUCAUGGAAGAUCAAAUUCAUAGUGAAAGGGAAUUAGGCUUACACCUAGUCCCUAAUUAAUUUUGGUGGUUGAAUUGACCAACACAAAUAAUUGGACUAACUAGUUUGCCCAAGUGUAUAGAUUAUACAUGUGUAAAAGGUUCACACUCAGCCAAUAAAAAGACCAAGUUUUGGAUUCAACAAAGGAGCAAAAGGGGCAACCGCAGGCACCCCUGGUCUGGCGCACCGGACUGUCCGGUGUGCCACCGGACAUGUCCGGUGCACCAGGGGACUCAGACUCAAACUCGCCGCCUUCGGGAAUUUCCAGAGGCACUCGCGCUAUAAUUCACCGGACUGUCCGGUGUACACCGGACAGUGUCUGGUGCGCCAAGGAGGAGCGGCCUCAGGAACUCGCCAGCUUCGGGAAUCACCAACGGCUAGUCCGCUAAAAAUCACCGGACUGUCCGGUGUGCACCGGACUGUCCGGUGUGCACCGGACUGUCCGGUGUGCACCGGACUGUCCGGUGCGACUCCGGAGCAACGACUACCUCCGCGCCAACGGCUCUCUGCGGUGCAAUAAAUGCGCACACAGCGCGCGCAGAUGGCAGGCGUGCCCAUACUGGCACACCGGACAAGGAACAGUAGAUGUCCGGUGUGCACCGGACACCCUGGAGGGCCCACAUGUCAGAAGCUCCAACGGUCAGAAUCCAACGGCAGUGAUGACGUGGCAGGGGGCACCGGACUGUCCGGCGUGCACCGGACUGUCCGGUGCGCCAUCGAACAGACAACCCUGCCAACGGUCAAGUUUGGUGGUUGGGGCUAUAAAUACCCCAACCACCCCACCAUUCAUUGCAUCCAAGUUUUCCACUUCUCAACCACUUACAAGAGCUAGGCAUUCAAUUCUAGACACACCCAAAGUGAUCAAAUCCUCUCCAAUUCAACACAAAGCCCUAGUGACUAGUGAGAGUGAUUUGCCGUGUUCAUUUGAGCUCUUGCGCUUGGAUUGCUUUCUCUCUUUCAUUCUUUCUUGUGUUCAAUACUCACUUGUAACCAAGGCAAGAGACACCAAUUGUGUGGUGGUCCUUGCGGGGAGGUUUUGCUCCCGGUUGAUUUGAGAAGAGAAAGCUCACUCGGUCGGAGGGACCGUUUGAGAGAGGGAAAGGGUUGAAAAAGACCCGGCCUUUGUGGCCUCCUCAACGGGGAGUAGGUUUGAGAGAACCGAACCUCGGUAAAACAAAUCCUCGUGUCUCACUUCAUUAUUUGCUUGCGAUUUGUUUUCACGCCCUCUCUCGGACUCGAUUAUAUUUCUAACGCUAACCCGGCUUGUAGUUGUGUUUAUAUUUGUAAAUUUCAGUUUCGCCCUAUUCACCCCCCCUCUAGGCGACUUUCAAUUGGUAUCAGAGCCCGGUGCUUCAUUAGAGCCUAACCGCUCGAAGUGAUGUCGGGAGAUCACGCCAAGAAGGAGAUGGAGACCGGCGAAAAGCCCACUACAAGUCACGGGAGCACUUCAUCAGAAGAAUCCCGCACCAAGAGGAAGGAGAAGAAGAAGGACUCCUCCAAACGGAAGGAGAAAAAGUCUUCCUCUUCUCACCACAAAGAGAAGAAGGAAAAAUCUUCUUCCCACAAGCCGCAUCGGAAAAGCGACAAGCACAAGAGGAUGAGGAAAGUGGUCUACUACGAGACCGACACUUCAUCAACAUCGACCUCCGACUCCGAUGCGCCCUCCGUCACUUCUAAGCGCCAAGAGCGCAAGAAGUAUAGUAAGAUCCCCCUACACUACCCUCGCAUUUCCAAACAUACACCUUUACUUUCCGUCCCAUUAGGCAAACCACCAACUUUUGAUGGUGAAGAUUACGCUAGGUGGAGCGAUUUAAUGCGAUUUCAUCUAACCUCGCUCCACAAAGGUAUAUGGGAUAUUGUUGAGUUUGGUGCACAGGUACCGUCGGUAGGGGAUGAGAACUAUGAUGAGGAUGAGGUGGCCCAAAUCGAGCACUUCAACUCUCAAGCAACAACAAUACUCCUCGCCUCUCUAAGUAGAGAGGAGUAUAACAAAGUACAAGGGUUGAAGAGCGCCAAGGAGAUUUGGGAUGUGCUCAAAACCGCGCACGAGGGAGACGAGCUCACUAAGAUCACAAGGCGGGAAACGAUCGAGGGGGAGCUCGGUCGGUUCCGGCUUCGCAAAGGGGAGGAGCCACAACACAUGUACAAUCGGCUCAAGACCUUGGUGAACCAAGUGCGCAACCUCGGGAGCGUAAAGUGGGAUGACCACGAAGUGGUUAAGGUUAUUCUAAGAUCUCUUAUUUUCCUUAACCCUACUCAAGUUCAAUUAAUUCGUGGUAAUCCUAGAUAUACUAAAAUGACCCCCGAGGAAGUUAUCGGGAAUUUUGUUAGUUUUGAGUGCAUGAUCGAAGGCUCGAGGAAGAUCAACGAGCUUGAUGAUGCCACCACAUCCGAAGCUCAACCCGUUGCAUUCAAGGCAACGGAGGAAAAGAAGGAGGAGUCUACACUAAGUCGACAACCAAUAGACGCCUCCAAGCUCGACAAUGAGAAAAUGGCGCUCGUCAUCAAGAGCUUCCGCCAAAUCCUCAAGCAAAGGAGGGGGAAGGAUUACAAGUCCCGCUCCAAGAAGGUUUGCUACAAGUGUGGUAAGCCCGGUCAUUUUAUUGCUAAAUGUCCUAUAUCUAGUGACAGUGACCGAGGUGACGACAAGAAGGGGAGGAGAAAGGAGAAGAAGAGGUACUACAAGAAGAAGGGCGGUGAUGCACAUGUUUGUCGGGAGUGGGACUCCGACGAAAGCUCAAGCGACUCCUCCGACGACGAGGACGCCGCCAACAUCGCCGUCACCAAGGGACUCCUCUUCCCCAACGUCGGCCACAAGUGUCUCAUGGCAAAGGACGGCAAACGAAAGAAGGUUAAAUCUAACUCCUCCACUAAAUAUGAGUCUUCUAGUGAUGAUAAUAAUAGUGAUGAGGAGGAUAACUUGCGUGUUCUCUUUGCCAAUCUUAACAUGGAGCAAAAAGAAAAAUUAAAUGAAUUGAUUAGUGCUAUUCAUGAAAAGGAUGACCUUUUGGACUCCCAAGAGGAUUAUCUAAUUAAAGAAAACAAGAAACAUGUUAAGGUUAAAAAUGCUUACGCUCUACAAGUUGAAAAAUGUGAAAAAUUGUCUAGUGAGCUAAGCACUUGCCGUGAGAUGAUUGACAACCUUAGAAAUGAAAAUGCUAGUUUAAAUGCUAAGGUUGAUUCUCAUGUUUGUAAUGUUUUAAUUCCCAAUCCUAGAGGUAAUAAUGAUGAUUUGCUUGCUAAGAUUGAAGAAUUAAACAUUUCUCUUGCUAGCCUUAGAUUAGAGAAUGAAAAUUUGAUUGCUAAGGCUAAAGAUUUUGAUGUUUGCAAAGUUACAAUUGCCGAUCUUAGAGAUAAAAAUGAUAUACUUCGUGCUAAGAUUGUUGAACUUAAUUCUUGCAAACCAUCUACAUCUACCAUUGAGCAUGUCACUAUUUGUACUAGAUGUAGAAAUGUUGAUAUUGAUGCUAUUCAUGAUCAUAUGGCUUUAAUUAAACAACAAAAUGAUCAUAUAGCAAAACUAGAUGCUAAAAUUGCCGAGCACAACUUAGAAAAUGAGAAAUUUAAAUUUGCUCGUAGCAUGCUUUAUAAUGGGAGACGCCCUGGCAUUAAGGAUGGCAUUGGCUACCAAAGGGGAGACAAUGUCAAACUUAGUGCCCCUCCUAAAAGAUUGUCAAAUUUUGUUAAGGGCAAGUCUCCCAUGCCUCAGGAUAACGAGGGUUACAUUUUAUACCCUGCCGGUUAUCCCGAGGACAAAAUUAGGAAAAUUCAUUCUAGGAAGUCUCACUCUGGCCCUAAUCAUGCUUUUAUGUAUAAGGGUGAGACAUCUAGUUCUAGGCAACCAACCCGUGCCAAGUUGCCUAAGAAGAAAAUUCCUAAUGCAUCUAAUGAACAUUGCAUUUCAUUUAAGACUUUUGAUGCAUCAUAUGUUUUGACUAACAAAUCCGGCAAGGUCGUUGCCAAGUUUGUUGGGGGCAAACACAAGGGCUCCAAGACUUGUGUUUGGGUACCCAAAGUUCUUGUUUCUAAUGCCAAAGGACCCAAAACAGUUUGGGUACCUAAAGUCAAGAACUAAAUUUGUUUUGUAGGUUUAUGCAUCUGGGGGCUCAAGUUGGAUACUCGACAGCGGGUGCACAAACCACAUGACAGGGGAGAAAAGGAUGUUCUCCUCAUAUGAGAAAAACCAAGAUCCCCAACGAGCUAUCACAUUCGGGGAUGGAAAUCAAGGUUUGGUCAAAGGUCUUGGUAAAAUUGCUAUAUCUCCUGACCAUUCCAUUUCCAACGUUUUUCUUGUUGAUUCAUUAGAUUACAAUUUGCUUUCCGUAUCUCAAUUAUGCCAAAUGGGCUACAACUGUCUAUUUACUGAUGUAGGUGUUACUGUCUUUAGAAGAAGUGAUGAUUCAAUAGCAUUCAAGGGAGAGUUAGAGGGUCAGCUAUACUUGGUGGAUUUUGAUAGAGCUGAACUCGACACCUGCUUGAUUGCUAAGACUAACAUGGGUUGGCUCUGGCACCGCCGACUAGCCCAUGUUGGGAUGAAGAAUCUUCAUAAGCUUCUAAAGGGAGAGCACAUUUUAGGACUAACAAAUGUUCAUUUUGAGAAAGACAUAAUUUGUAGCGCAUGCCAAGCCGGGAAGCAAGUUGGCACCCAUCAUCCACACAAGAACAUCAUGACGACCGACAGGCCGCUUGAGCUACUCCACAUGGAUUUAUUCGGCCCGAUUGCUUACAUAAGCAUCGGCGGGAGUAAGUAUUGUCUUGUAAUAGUGGAUGAUUAUUCUCGCUUCACUUGGGUGUUCUUUUUACAGGAAAAAUCUCAAACCCAAGAGACCUUAAAAGGAUUCUUAAGACGGGCUCAAAAUGAGUUUGGCUUAAGGAUCAAGAAAAUAAGAAGCGACAACGGGACGGAGUUCAAGAACUCUCAAAUCGAAGGCUUCCUUGAGGAGGAGGGCAUCAAGAAUGAGUUCUCUUCUCCCUGCACGCCACAACAAAAUGGUGUAGUGGAGAGGAAGAAUCGAACUCUUUUGGACAUGGCAAGGACCAUGCUUGAUGAGUACAAGACUCCGGACCGGUUUUGGGCCGAAGCGGUCAACACCGCCUGCUACGCCAUCAACCGGUUAUAUCUUCACCGAAUCCUCAAGAAGACAUCAUAUGAACUCCUAACCGGUAAAAAGCCCAACAUUUCAUACUUUAGAGUUUUUGGUAGCAAAUGCUUUAUUCUUGUUAAAAGAGGUAGAAAAUCUAAAUUUGCUCCUAGAACUGUAGAAGGCUUUUUGCUUGGUUAUGACUCAAACACAAGGGCAUAUAGAGUCUUUAACAAGUCCUCAGGACUUGUUGAAGUUUCUUGUGACGUUGUGUUUGACGAAACUAACGGCUCUCAAGUAGAGCAAGUUGAUCUUGAUGAGAUAGGUGAAGAACAGGCUCCAUGCAUAGCGCUAAGGAACAUGUCCAUUGGGGAUGUGUGUCCUAAGGAAUCCGAAGAGCCUCCAAGUGCACAAGAUCAACCAUCCUCCACCACGCAAGCAUCUCCACCAACUCAAAAUGAGGAUGAGACUCAAGUUGAUGAAAGGCAAAAUCAAGAAGAUGAGCCACCUCAAGAUGAUGGCAAUAAUCAAGGGGGAGAUGCAAAUAAUCAAGAAAAGGAGGAUGAGGAAGAACCAAGACCGCCACACCCAAGAGUCCACCAAGCAAUCCAACGAGAUCACCCCGUCGACACCAUCCUCGGCGACAUUCAUAAGGGGGUAACUACUAGAUCUCGGGUUGCUCAUUUUUGUGAACAUUACUCUUUUGUUUCCUCUAUUGAGCCACACAGGGUAGAGGAAGCUCUCCAAGAUUCGGAUUGGGUGGUGGCGAUGCAAGAGGAGCUCAACAACUUCACUAGAAAUGAGGUAUGGCAUUUGGUUCCACGUCCUAACCAAAAUGUUGUAGGAACCAAAUGGGUCUUCCGCAACAAGCAAGAUGAGCAUGGUGUGGUGACAAGGAACAAAGCACGACUUGUGGCCAAGGGAUACUCCCAAGUCGAAGGUUUGGAUUUCGGUGAAACCUAUGCACCCGUAGCUAGGCUUGAGUCAAUUCGCAUAUUAUUGGCCUAUGCUACUUACCAUGGCUUUAAGCUUUAUCAAAUGGACGUGAAAAGUGCCUUCCUCAACGGACCAAUCAAGGAAGAGGUCUAUGUUGAGCAACCUCCCGGCUUUGAAGACAGUGAGUAUCCUAACCAUGUCUAUAAGCUCUCUAAGGCGCUUUAUGGGCUCAAGCAAGCCCCAAGAGCAUGGUAUGAAUGCCUUAGAGAUUUCCUUAUCGCUAAUGGCUUCAAAGUCGGCAAGGCCGAUCCUACACUCUUCACUAAAACUCUUGACAAUGAUUUGUUUGUAUGCCAAAUUUAUGUUGAUGAUAUCAUAUUUGGGUCUACUAACGAAUCUACUUGUGAGGAAUUUAGUAGGAUCAUGACACAGAAAUUCGAGAUGUCUAUGAUGGGGGAGUUGAAGUAUUUCUUAGGAUUCCAAGUAAAGCAACUCCAAGAGAGCACCUUCAUCAGCCAAACGAAGUACACUCAAGACAUUCUAAACAAGUUUGGGAUGAAGGAUGCCAAGCCCAUCAAGACACCCAUGGGAACCAAUGGGCAUCUCGACCUUGACACGGGAGGUAAGUCCGUGGAUCAAAAGGUAUACCGGUCGAUGAUUGGUUCAUUGCUUUAUUUAUGUGCAUCUCGACCAGACAUUAUGCUUUCCGUUUGCAUGUGUGCAAGAUUCCAAUCCGACCCUAAGGAAUCACACCUUACGGCCGUAAAACGAAUCUUGAGAUAUUUGGCUUAUACACCUAAGUUUGGCCUUUGGUACCCUCGGGGAUCCACUUUUGAUUUAAUUGGUUAUUCUGAUGCUGAUUGGGCAUGGUGCAAGAUUAAUAGGAAGAGCACAUCGGGGACUUGCUAGUUCUUGGGAAGAUCCUUGGUGUCUUGGGCUUCAAAGAAGCAAAAUUCGGUUGCUCUUUCCACCGCCGAAGCCGAGUACAUUGCCGCAGGUCAUUGUUGCGCGCAAUUGCUUUGGAUGAGGCAAACCCUGCGGGACUAUGGUUACAAAUUAACCAAAGUCCCUUUGCUAUGUGAUAAUGAGAGUGCAAUCAAAAUGGCCGACAAUCCCGUCGAGCAUAGCCGCACUAAGCACAUAGCCAUUCGGUAUCAUUUUCUUAGGGAUCACCAACAAAAGGGAGAUAUCGAGAUUUCUUAUAUUAACACUAAAGAUCAAUUAGCCGAUAUCUUUACCAAGCCUCUUGAUGAACAAACUUUUACCAAACUUAGGCAUGAGCUCAAUAUUCUUGAUUCGCGCAAUUUCUUUUGCUAGAUUGCACACAUAGCUCAUUUAUAUACCUUUGAUCAUAUCUCUUUCAUAUGCUAUGACUAAUGUGUUUUUCAAGUCCAUUUCACACCAAGUCAUAGGUAUAUUGAAAGGGAAUUGGAGUCUUCGGCGAAGACAAAGGCUUCCACUCCGUAACUCAUCCUUCGCCAUCGCUCCAAGAAAAGGACCUUGUCUUUGGGGGAGAGAGUACAAGCCCAAAGCAAAAGGACCGGACUUCGUCUUUGGUAUAAUCUUAACUCAUUUACUUAUGACCAAAGGGGAAGAUAGUACUUAAUGGGCUCUAAUGAUUCCGUUUUUGGCGAUUAAUGCCAAAGGGGGAGAAAGUAAGAGCCCAAAGCAAAAGGACCGCACCACCACCAAUUUCAAAAAUUUAGUGCUUUCCAAGAGUAUUUAUCAAUUGGUAUCCUAUUGUGUUCAAAAGGAGGAGAAAAUUAGUUUUUCAAAAAUGUAUAUCAAAACCCUCUUGAAUACUAAGAGGUGGAUCUCUUUUAGGGGGAGUUUUGUUAAGUCAAAAGAAAAGCAUUUGAAACAGGGGGAGAAAAUUUCAAAUCUCGAAAAUGCUUUGCAAAUCCUAUUCAUUUACCUUUGACCAUUUGCAAAAGAACUUUGAAAAAAAAUUUACAAAAGAGUUUGCAAAAACAAAACAUGUGGUGCAAACGUGGUCCAAAAUGUUAUAUAAGAAAGAAACAAUCCAUUCAUAUCUUGUAAGUAUUUAUAUUGGCUCAAUUGCAAGCAACCUUUACACUUACAUUAUGCAAACUAGUUCAAUUAUGCACUUCUAUAUUUGCUUUGGUUUGUGUUGGCAUCAAUCACCAAAAAGGGGGAGAUUGAAAGGGAAUUAGGCUUACACCUAGUCCCUAAUUAAUUUUGGUGGUUGAAUUGACCAACACAAAUAAUUGGACUAACUAGUUUGCCCAAGUGUAUAGAUUAUACAGGUGUAAAAGGUUCACACUCAGCCAAUAAAAAGACCAAGUUUUGGAUUCAACAAAGGAGCAAAAGGGGCAACCGCAGGCACCCCUGGUCUGGCGCACCGGACUGUCCGGUGUGCCACCGGACAUGUCCGGUGCACCAGGGGACUCAGACUCAAACUCGCCGCCUUCGGGAAUUUCCAGAGGCACUCGCGCUAUAAUUCACCGGACUGUCCGGUGUACACCGGACAGUGUCCGGUGCGCCAAGGAGGAGCGGCCUCAGGAACUCGCCAGCUUCGGGAAUCACCAACGGCUAGUCCGCUAAAAAUCACCGGACUGUCCGGUGUGCACCGGACUGUCCGGUGUGACUCCGGAGCAACGGCUACCUCCGCGCCAACGGCUCUCUGCGGUGCAAUAAAUGCGCGCACAGCGCGCGCAGAUGGCAGGCGUGCCCAUACUGGCACACCGGACAAGGAACAGUAGAUGUCCGGUGUGCACCGGACACCCUGGAGGGCCCACAUGUCAGAAGCUCCAACGGUCAGAAUCCAACGGCAGUGAUGACGUGGCAGGGGGCACCGGACUGUCCGGCGUGCACCGGACUGUCCGGUGCGCCAUCGAACAGACAACCCUGCCAACGGUCAAGUUUGGUGGUUGGGGCUAUAAAUACCCCAACCACCCCACCAUUCAUUGCAUCCAAGUUUUCCACUUCUCAACCACUUACAAGAGCUAGGCAUUCAAUUCUAGACACACCCAAAGUGAUCAAAUCCUCUCCAAUUCAACACAAAGCCCUAGUGACUAGUGAGAGUGAUUUGCCGUGUUCAUUUGAGCUCUUGCGCUUGGAUUGCUUUCUCUCUUUCAUUCUUUCUUGUGUUCAAUACUCACUUGUAACCAAGGCAAGAGACACCAAUUGUGUGGUGGUCCUUGCGGGGAGGUUUUGCUCCCGGUUGAUUUGAGAAGAGAAAGCUCACUCGGUCGGAGGGACCGUUUGAGAGAGGGAAAGGGUUGAAAAAGACCCGGCCUUUGUGGCCUCCUCAACGGGGAGUAGGUUUGAGAGAACCGAACCUCGGUAAAACAAAUCCUCGUGUCUCACUUCAUUAUUUGCUUGCGAUUUGUUUUCAUGCCCUCUCUCGGACUUGAUUAUAUUUCUAACGCUAACCCGGCUUGUAGUUGUGUUUAUAUUUGUAAAUUUCAGUUUCGCCCUAUUCACCCCCCCUCUAGGCGACUUUCACAUAGCCCUCUGAUAAGUAGCACCAGCAUUUUUCAGACCAAAUGUCAUGACAACCCACUCAAAUAAACCAAUGAAGCCUGGACAUAUAAAGGCCGUUUUAGACGCAUCUUCUUCGGCCAUGAAAAUUUGAUUAUAUCCGACAUUACCAUCAAGGAAGCUAAUAAUUCUAUUUCCUGAUGCAUUAUUGAUUAAUGUGUCGGCUAUGGGCAUGGGAUAUUCUUCUUUAGGAGUUGCUCUAUUUAAAUUGCGAAAAUCAAUGCAUAUUCUAAGUUUACCUGACUCCUUCUUCUCCACCGGCACAAUAUUGGAGACCCAUUCUGCGUAUCUGCAAGGUCUGAUAAAAUCAGCUUCUAGCAGCCGGUGGAUUUCGUCCUUGAUGCGUGGGAGAAGAUCUGGACGAAAUGUUCUAGCUCUUUGCUUGAAAGGUCUGAAACCAGAUUUAAUAGGCAGCCGAUCUCUACGAUCUCUCGGCUUAAUCCAGGCAUUUCAGUAUAAUUCCAAGCAAAGCAAUCUGAAUAUUCCUUCAAUAGACCGAUCAUCUCAUCUCUAGGAUCGGUCUCUAGGGUCUUGUUUACAAAAGUCGGCCUUGGAGUUUUACCAUCUCCUAUGUCAAUCUCCUCCAAAGGAUCGGCCGAUGUAAACCCCUGUCCUAGUUUAUCAAGAUCUCUAAAUUCCUCUAUCAUGUCUCCCACAGAGGAAUCAGAUGAUCUUUGUGUGAUGGCGGACUUUUCGGUCUCGGGGACCGGAUCAUCCGUAACACUGUCUUUUCGCUGUGGUAGAUGUUCGGUCUUAAAGUCCGAACUCUUUCGUGAAAGACCAGACCAUCCGGCCUUGGCGGCCGAACUGUCCAUGACCAAAGACUCAUGAACUUUGUGUGUAUUCAUCAUUUAAACUUUAUUUAGGAUUUAGCCGAUUCUCCAUCGGCUCUAGCAUUACAGGAAUGAAACCUUCCUUAUCUAUACUUAUGAAUUGAUAAUCAGAAAAAUCUACUCCUGUGAGACAUGUAGCAGUCUCAUAAGUCCAGAGUACAGGGGCAUCGGCCACAGCGAUGCAGGCCGAUACAUCAGCAUGUACUUGUUCUAUGUCAUCGCCUACCCAUUGUAUUAGCAUUUGAUGUAAUGUAGAAGGUAUACAUUGAUUGGCGUGAAUCCAAUCUCUGCCUAGAAUUAAACUGUAAUUUCCUUCUACAUCAGCGACGAAGAAUGCAGCAGCAAGGGUCUUAGUCCCGAUGGUUAAUUCAACGGACGUGACUCCCCUGGCUUUGAUCGAACUAUCAGUUCCAACACCGCUGAGGGUCAUGUUGGUCUUGACAAGUUCGUCAUCUUGUUUACCUAAUUUUCUGUAUAAUGAAUAAGGCAUUAGAUUUACAGCCGCCCCUCCGUCUACCAACAUCUUAGCAAUCGGUAUCCCAUCAAUGUGACCGCGCACGAAGAGCGGCUUUAAAUGAUUUACCGAUUCCUUUGGUUUAGUAAAGGCGGCUUCUUUAGGACCAAAAUCAAACUGGGCAACAACAGGUUCAUCAUCGCCGAUGAUAGUACAAUCGGCAGAAAAUGUAAUAAUAUUUACAUCCAUACCUGGGCGUUCUGGAGAAGCCUCGUAGUCGACCAGGUCUUCUCCCAGCAAGUCGUCCUCCUCCAUUGAUGUUGUCGUGUCGUUGGAGGCCUCCUGGUGAACGGCGGACGGUCCGCACGCGGGGGCCGGACGGUCCGCGCCUGGUGCAGGUUGUCCAGAGGCUUCCUGGUGAAUGGCGGACGGUCUGUGCGCGGGGGCCGGACGGUCCGCGCUUGGUGCAGAUUGUCCAGACGCUUCCUGGUGAGGGACGGACGGUCCGCGCGCAGAGGUCGGACGGUCCGCGCCUGGUGCAGGUUGACUUUCUAUUUCUGUGGCCGUUUGUUUUUUCUCGACGGCCUUUGGUCUCCAUUUCUUUUGCGGUGGUGGGUAUAGUGGAUGCGUGUCAUUGAAUAUUUUUUCCGCCUCUUUCUCCUGGCUCUCCUUCACUCUUAGGCGCUGUAAUUUUCUCUUUUGGGAUCGUGUCAAUCCCGCCGGGCACCAUCGAGGCAUGGAGUAUUUUGGAUCGGCUGUUUUGACGGUAGCCGUAUCCUUUUUGUUUGUGUUAUCCUUUUUGGUUGUGUUGGCCGAUUCACCAAAAAUCAUUGGCCCUUUAUUGUCCCCAUGUAUGACCACAUCUGCGGUGCCUAUUUUGAUGCUGCCCUUUUUUGUUGUUCUUUGAGUUGCUAUAGUCAUAUGCCCCCCUGCCGGAUUGGUCGGCCUAGGAGGCCGAGUAGUCCGGCAAUCUUGUUGGGCCUGUGCCUGGUGACCGGAUUGAGUAGUGCUCAAUCGGUCUUGUACUGGUGGCGUCAACCUGUCAAAAACAGAUGUUUGGGGUGCCCCCCAGGCGGGGUACUGUGGCAUCCCAAAUGGAUAUGGUGGCAUGCCCCACAUUUGAUUUGGGACAUACGGCGGAGGUAAAUAUGUGUAUGGAUAUGGCAUAGGUGGAUAUGGAGGUGGAGGUGUCCAUGCAGGUAUGUUAGGUCUCACUUGUACAGUAUGACCUUUCAUUUCUUCCGAUUGGUGGGGUGGUCCAAUCGGCCUGACCUGACGCUGCUCAUGAAUGGGUGAGCGGGGUCGCUUUGCUGGCCGGUCACUGGGGCCGGCCUUCUUUUUUACGUAUUUAGACAAUAAUUGAUCAAAAGUUGGGCCGGCUUUAACCAACCGACCAGCUGCCUUGAAUGUAUUUGUUUUCCACGUACCUAUCUCUGGUCGUCGUGGUUUGAAAGUACGUGGACGUUGUGAGUCCUGAGUACAGCCGGACCGUCCGACGGAGCUCUCCGGACCGUCCGGUGGGGUCCCGGACCGUCCACGCCUAUGUGCCGGACCGUCCGGGAUACGCAGCACGGGUUCCUGUAUCCGUCUCCCUGUCUGCGCUUGCCCCCUAGUACUGGAGGCUGUGAUGGUUACUUUUAGGGUCUCCCCUCCAUCGGGAGUCUUCUCAGCUAUCACUUUCCUGCAAGAAACUUUAUGAUCCUCAUCGGCCCUUUUAGAAUCGCCGAUGACUAUCUCUUUGCCUUUAUCGGCCGUGUUUGGCCGAACCAGGACUUUCUUGCCCUCGAAGUCGAUCACGUUCAUCGGAAAGGGCUCUGUAUCCACCUGCAUUUCCUGAAAUUUCAAUCGUCCCUCAUUAAUGGCCGAUUGAAUCUGUCGACGGAAUACAUUACAAUCAUUAGUGGCAUGAGAAAAUGAGUUAUGCCACUUGCAGUAUGCACGACGUUUUAGCUCGUCGGCGGAUGGAACAGUGUGAUUUAUUUUAAUAUUGCCAUUUUAAGUAACUCAUCAAAUAUUUUAUCACAUUUACCAACAUUAAAUGUAAACUUUACCUCCUCUUGGCGUUUCUUUUGAACCGGCUGUAAGGAAGCACAAGCCGAAGAUUUGGCCUGCUUUGGCCAAACCAUUUCAGCAGCGUACACUUCUGCUGAUUCAUCAUCUGAGCUACUUUGGUCGCAUUCUACUAUGUGUACGUUGUGACGCAUUGUUUUAGCAGUUUCUUUGCUCCGGCUUUCACAAGCCAAAGCUCUCUGGUGUAACUGUGCUAGUGUAAAAAAUUGGAUGCCUUCUAAUGUUUCUUUUAAAUAAUAUCGUAGACCAUUAAAGGCUAAUCCUACUAGCUGUUUUUCUGCUAAAUGAAUUUGAAAGCAUCAGUUUCUUGUAUCUCGGAAUCUCCGGAUGUAAUCAUUAACCGAUUCAUCUUUUGUCUGUCGCAACGACACUAAAUCUACCAAAUCCAACUCAUAGUCACCGGAGAAAAAAUGAUCAUGAAAUUUUUGUUCUAGAUCCCCCCAUGAUGAAAUGGAAUUAGGAGGUAAAGUGGCAUACCAUGCAAACGCGGUUCCUGUUAGCGAUAAUGAAAAUAAACGUACGCGAAAUGCCUCUGUGUCGGUCAAUUCUCCCAAUUGUGCUAAGAACUGGCCUAUAUGUUCGCGUGUGUUUUUCCCUUGAUUACCCGAAAAUUUAGCGAAUUCGGGUAUCCUGGUUCCCUGUGGGUAUGGGUGGUGAUCAAAUCGGCUGUCAUAAGGUUUCCGAUAUGAUUGCCCCCCAGGGACCAUGCUUACUCCGAGCUUAUCUCGGAACGUCCCGGCUAUUUCUUCCCUUACUAUAUCAAUGGCAGCCGGUGCGAGACCACCGGCUCUCUGGUCAAACAUAGGUGGGGUUGGCUGGAUAUUAGCAUGUUGUCUUUUCCCCCAUUGGUUUGAAUUACGUGGUGCAUUUUCAUUUGCCCUAUAUGGGUCAUAGGUUUGAUCGUUUCUUUCCGGCCUCCUGGGUGGGGCCGGAAAGCUUUCCUGGGCUCUGGAUCUUGAAUUAAUGGGUUGAUGCAUUGUAUAGUGCGAUGGGAAGUGCUGCUGGGACGGGUGAGGAUUCCGAUAACAAUCCUCCUCAAAAAGGUCAUGUGCGGACUGUCCGUGAUUAUGUGCGGACCGUCCGUCGUUGUAUGCGGAUGGUCCGACUGGGUAGUUUAGAUUCCGUGUCGUGUGUGGUGGUUCGGGCGCAUAUCUAGGUAACUCAUGAAAAAUAGGCCCGACUGUUGUUGGCCCGGACGGUCCGCGCUCACGUGCGGACGGUCCGGGCAUGUGCAGAUCGGCUGAUUUGCUGCCGAUUUGCGGUUGUUCAGGGUAUGUGUCCAUCGGCAUCCCAUAAAGGGGUUGUGACUGGUCGUGACAACCUGUAGCCGAUGUGUUACGCGUGUUACCUCCUAACUCAACCUCGUGUGAAGGAAAAUUUGCGAUGUUAGACUUAUCGAAUGCACGUACUAGUCUCUUAACAUCGCUUUGCAUACCCCCUAUGAUGCUCUGCAUUUGUUCACGCUGCUCUUCUACAUAAUUUCUAAGAGAUUGUAGCUCGUUGGUAUUACUUACAUUGGGGAUAUCUGGCGUGGGUUGGAGCGAAGCCGGAUCCGUCGCCCGAUGUCGGACGACCUUGUUGUUCCUGUCCACUUUGAAGUUGGCCAAGAAUUUUGCUUUCGCCUCCUGGAUCAUCCGCUCCUUGUGCUCCUCGAACUGGAGCUGCUCGUCAGCCGGCAAGGUCUCCCAAGUCGGCUCUAUGAUGUUGCUUGGAGAAAUAUCAGAGCUAUCCCUUGAACCGGCCAUUGAGGGCCGAUUUGAUGAGCUUAGAUGUGCUGUCCCCAGCGGAGUCGCCAAAAAGUAUGUUGACGCCUUUUCGGAGCGUCAAACACUCAAUAAGAACCGUGGCGGUGCCCUCUGCACAGGGCGGACGGUCCGCGCGCGGGGCCGGACGGUCCGCGGCCUGGUGCGAGGCGCGGUGGUACUCUCUGCGCAGGGGCGGACUGUCCGCGGCCUGGGGCCGGACGGUCCGCGGCCUGGUGCCCGGCUAGGGCUUCUCUGCCUGACGGCCGGACGGUCCGCGCCCUGGGGGCGGACGGUCCGCGCGUACGCAGAGGCGGCGGAAGUCGCCGGCGGCGCCUGGAUCUCGCUCCCGGGAGGGACCCCGUCGGGGAGGAGAGAUCCUAGGUGGUGUCUAGGCUCGGGCCGGCCGACCUAGACUCCUCUAAUCGACGUAGAGCCGAAGAGAGACGAAGAAUUUGGGGAUUGGAUAGCUAAACCUAAACUAGACUAGAACUACUCCUAAGAUAAAAUGCGAAAUAGAAGUUGUAUUGAUUCGAUUGUUGAUGAUUACAAAUCGGCCGUAGACCUCUCUAUUUAUAGAGGAGGGGGCUGGACCCUUUACACAACUGAUUCCGAGCUAAUUCCGCAAAUAUAGCUAACAACCGUAGCACAAAACUCGGAACCCUAAUCUGUUCUGCGCACGCGCGGACCGUCCGGCCCACAGGCGCGGACCGUCCGGUGGCUCAAUAUGGCGCUCAACAUGUAUGUAUUUCUCCUAAAGCAAAGACCCGUGCUUGGAACAAAAAGGUUUUGUUGUUGUGCCUUUUUAGACCUUGUGCUCAAGAGCUGAUGAUUUUAGACCGUACCAUGAUUUUUUGCAAAGUUUUUGGCCAUAAAGUUGGUUGCAAGUAAGUACAUCUUAUCUAUACUAUACUAUACGAUACUAUACUAUACUAUACUAUACUAUACUAUACUAUACUAUACUAUACUAUACUAUACUAUACUAUACUAUACUAUACUAUACUAUACUAUACUAUACUAUACUAUACUAUACUAUACUAUACUAUACUAUACUAUACUAUACUAUACUAUACUUAAAGCACUAGUUUCAACGGUCGUCCCGCGUCAUCUUUUUACAAAUAACCCCUCACAUCUAUUUCAAAUUAAUCUGUUGCACGUCUAUAGAUGGCCAAACGACGGCACGGCACGGGCCAGACGCCUGCGGGUCACAACUCUGGCCCAAGCACGUCAUGCUGGCCUGCUAACUGUGCCGGACCAGCCCAUUAGCCCGUCGGUCCAUUUAAUUAAAUCAGCGUAAAAUGUUAAAAAAUGGUGUAGAAGGUGGGGUUUGAACCUAUGCUCUGAUGGAAGAAGGGCGGGAGACACGUGUGAAGCUGUCUAACCAGUUAAACAUCAUGCUCAGAUGAUUUUAAUAUUGAAUAUAAAUUGUAUAUAUGUAUAUACGUUUUUUUUGUAAAAUAAAAAAUAUAUAAUCGUGUUGGGCCGGGCCAACACUACGGGCCGAGGCUACAACCCAAGCACGGCACGAGGCUCUUGGCUCUUGCAAGUAUUAGGUCGUUUUUGAGACCACAUUGGCGCAAUGGACUCCAUGGUGUUUGAGGUUGCUGAAUUAGAUGGAGAAACAAUGAUUUGUCAUAGUAACAGUAAAAUGAAAGGUUAUUUGUUGGUUUUAAACAUUAGUAAUUGCUACGAAGUAACAUAAUUUAUAUGGAGCACAUCCAGUGUUUAUUGAUGUUUGACUUUAGCAAUCACUCCAUAUUUUGAUCCAUCUUUUUUAUAAGUUUGAGUUCAUGUGACUUAUUUUAGAAACUUGAGCUCACAAACUUUCUCUUAUUUGGUCUUUGUAUGGUGGAAUUAUGAUAUUUUAUAAUCUAUGUUCGUUUAGUUAGUCGUUGUGAACUCUCUUCUAAUCGCUCACUUCAUUGGUCGUGUUGUAGCAUGAUAUAUUGCAUGGAGUAAACAAUAACAUCAGUUAGCCAAAUCAAAAAAUAUUAUACGAAGAAAUGAUACAAUUAAUAAAAAAUCUUGAAUUUUUUGGUGGAUAGUUUACGUGAGUAUUGUUGUAAGCCGUCGCAACACACGAGCAACCGACUAGUGUACUUUUAAUUUCCACUAGUCUAUCACAUCAUCAUUCAGCUAGCAUUUCUUCUCCGAGUGGCAACAACAGUAGUCCAAAGAGCUUUCCCGGUUAUGAAUAUAAUCAAGAUUGAUUUGUAAAAAAAGAAUUAGUGAUGAGUGGCUUAAAUACUUAACUUUAUGCUACAUCGAGAAGGAAACUUUUGGCAAACUUUAUCAUGAACGAUCGAGUUAAGGGGACAUUUCAAUUUUAUGAAAGAUCGAAAGAUGAGUUUACCUACCCCAAAGCUUCCAUGAUGUUCUCAGAGCUUUUAGCAUUUAUAUGUUUUUUCUGCUAUGUUUGACAUUUUUAAUAUAUAUUUCCCAUUACUACAUUUGUAUUAAUUACAUGUUGUUUAUGCAUUUUUUUUCAUUUUUUUAAUUUCAUGGUUUGAUGUAGGAUGAAUUAUACUCAUUCAAUUCUAAAAUAUUAGUCGUUUUAGUUCUUGAUUUUAUGUCUAUACAUGUUCAAAUGGAUUGAUAAAUCUAGAUACGUAUAUAAAAAAACACAUUAAUUAUUAUAUGAAUUAACUAAAAAAAUAAAACGAAUUUUAUUUUGGGAUCCAGGGAUUAUUGAUUAUGCAACAAAAAGUCUCCUUACAUGUUUUUCAUGUGAAAGGUAAUCAUCUUCAAAAAAAUCUCCUUAUUGUUGAAUAAUUAGACAAAUUCCAAAUUAAAUUCCGAAUAUAAAUCAUGACCAAAUCAGAAGAACUGAAAUAAAAGCCAAAUCAGAUGAUGCGUACUGAUUAGACUUACUGAUUGUUGGCGCGCGCCAGGAUCAGAUGGGUUGACGAGGUCAGCAGAUCACGAGCAGUCGCGAGAAGACGCUUCCCAAAAACCUUAUUCGCCCUCUCCCGGUGCAGGAUCUAGAAGACGAAGGGUUCCGGAGACCUGCUCUCCUGAUCGCAGAUGCACCUCUGCGGUCGGGACGAAGGGAACUAAAAGGCGGCUCAGCUAUGAAGAGAGGCGAAAGCGAACUGGGAUCUGGGAUGAUUUGGAGGCUGGCUGCCGGGCUCCUUUUAUAGGGCCGAGUCCGCGACCCCAGUGCUUAUCCGCCCACGAAAAUCUCGCAAUCAGUUGAGAUUUUAUAGGGAUCGGUUAGGAUAAGCGUAACAGCCAAGAAACCAAAAAAUCAAACGGCAAAAGGUAGCCGCGCCCCCGCAAGGCGAGGGGCCGGAUUUCGGCGGACCAUUCACGCGCAUGUCGUGCGCCCGCGCCCUUCGCCCCGCCCCGGCCCGGCCCGGCCAGGCGAGGCGAGGCGAGCGAGCGCGCGCGCGCGUGUGGCUCUCCACACUCUCUCCUCUCAUCCAUGACUUGGUGAGUGAGUGUGGCUUCCAUAUUUAAGUUAGCUCUACUCCACAAGAGCUAGCAAUAUGGUGCUAUUGGUUCCACCUAUCCCUUUGCCAUCCACUUAUAUGGGCUUUUGAGAUUUUCCUGGGAUUUAUUUGAAUAACUUAAUUGGGCCAAGCCCAUAAAUCCUAACAAUCCCCCACCAGAUCUCAAAUGCCCAUCUGCAGUUUUCGCCACUGUUCACUACUGUUUAAUAUACUAGUUUUUCAGCAGAGACUGUUAAGUUGAACUUCCGCCUAGAACUCCAAGUUACACCAACCCACAACUUGGACAAUGGACUAUGCCUUGAAUUGCAAGUUUUGCGUGAAUGGGUUUCACUUGAAGUCAUGACUAGUACUUGGCUACCAGUAGUCCCCUUCUCGGGUGGAGCAUAUACGUCGUACUCCAAGGUCUCUUCAUGAGUUUACUUAGAGAUCACCCAGAUCUCAUAGACUGCGACGUUAGACAGUCUAACUCAUAUAGGUGUGUUCUUUCAAGAAUGUUCUGCAGGACAACAUCUUCGCUAAUACAAGCCAACAGAACACAUUAAGGCACAAAGCCAACCUGCCUUACAGCAUUUGAGAGUAUUGCAUCUUUACUUAGAGAGGGUCAAAGGUUACUCUCCUCAGUUCACCAAUGGCUUGUUCUUCCCAGGACCUAAUUCACGGGAUCUCCGAUCACAUAGACUGGGUUUCCACCAUGGCAACUUUAUUCGGGUCUCAUACCCAUCUCUCUCGAUGCGAUUUCUAUCACAUUACGUGGUAGUCCCUUGGUAAAAGGAUCUGCCAGAUUCUUAUCUGUUGAAAUAUAAGUCACACUUAUAACUCCGGAGUUUCUCAACUUUCUGACAGACUUCAAUCGUCUUUUGACAUGUCUUGAUGACUUUCCAUUAUCCUUAGAACUCGUCACUUUAGCAAUCACUGUCUGAUUGUCACAGUUCAUAAGGAUAGCUGGUAUUGGUUUCUCAACCACCGGCAAGUCCAUCAAGAGUUCACGCAACCAUUCUGCCUCAACGGUUGCUGUGUCAAGUGCAGCUAGCUCGGCUUCCAUGGUUGACCUCGUCAAAAUGGUCUGCUUGCAUGACCUCCAUGAUACCGCACCUCCACCAAUAGUAAAGACAUAACCACUGGUGGCAUAAAGCUCGUCUGCAUCAGAUAUCCAGUUCGAAUCACUAUAUCCUUCAAGUACUGCAUGCUGACCAGAAUAGUGAAUUCCAUAACUCAUUGUACCUUGCAGGUAGCGCAUAACCCGCUCAAGUGCAUGCCAAUGAUCAGUCCCGGGGUUUGACAUGAACCUACUCAAUUUGCUCACAGCAAACGAGAUAUCGGGCCUUGUUGCACCAGCAAGAUACAUGAGUGAACCGACAAUCUGAGAGUAUCUCAAUUGGUCUAAACCAAUUCUCUUGUUCUUUCGCAGUGUCACACUGGGAUCAUAAGGUGUUGAAGAAGGUUUGCACUCAGAGAAGCCAAAUCGCUUCAAAACCUUUUCAACAUAGUGAGAUUGCGAGAGAGUAAUCCCACCAUCUGCCUUAAUCAGCUUGAUGUUUAGAAUCACAUCAGCUUCUCCCAGAUCUUUCAUAUCAAAACUCUUUGAUAGAAAAGACUUGACUUCAUUGAUCACAUCAAUGUUUGUGCCAAAUAUCAAUAUAUCAUCAACAUAUAAGCACAAUAUAACUCCUUCGCCCCCACCACAGCGAUAAUAUACACACCUGUCUGCCUCAUUAAUGGCAAAGCCUGCAGACGUUAGAGUAGUGUCAAACUUCUCAUGCCACUGCUUUGGUGCUUGCUUCAGACCAUACAAAGAUUUCAAUAACUUGCACACCUUGCUUUCUUGACCCUUUACUACAAAUCCAUCAGGUUGUUCCAUAUAGAUUUCCUCGUCCAGCUCUCCAUUAAGAAAAGCUGUCUUUACAUCCAUCUGAUGAACAAGGAGACCAUACGAGGCAGCCAAAGAAAGUAGUACUCGAAUAGUGGUCAUUCUAGCAACAGGUGAGUAAGUAUCAAAGAAGUCUUCUCCUUCUUUCUGAGUAUAGCCUUUAGCCACAAGCCUAGCCUUGUACUUUUCAAUUGUACCAUCAGGCUUGAGCUUCUUUUUAAACACCCACUUACAACCCACGGGUUUGCAUCCAUAGGGUCGAUCAGUGACUUCCCACGUACCAUUUGAAAGAAUAGAGUCCAUCUCAUUAUGAACUGCUUCUUUCCAAUCAUCUGCAUCUGGAGAUGCAAAUGCUUCUGCAAUGGUAGUAGGAGUAUCGUCCACAAGGUACACAAUGAAAUCAUUACCAAAGGAUUUUUCAACCCUUUGUCUCUUGCUCCUUUUAGGAGCAUCAUUGUCAUCCUCCUCUAGGACAAUUUCAUGUGGCUGUUCAAAACUCUCAAUAGGUGUAUUAUGUUCAGGAAUUAUCUCAGAAGAGUAUCUAGAAUUGCUAUGAAUGUCUUUCAUUGGAAAUAUAUGCUCAAAGAAAGUAGCAUCACGUGAUUCCAUAAUAGUAUCAACAUACACAUCAGGAACUUCAGAUUUAACUACUAAAAAUCUAUAAGCUAUGCUACACGAAGCAUAUCCAAGAAAGACACAAUCCACUGUCCUUGGACCAAGCUUGCGCUUUUUAUUAAUUGGUACAUUGACUUUCGCCAUGCACCCCCAAGUGCGCAAGUAUGAAAGUGAUGGUUUUCUCCCAACCCACUUCUCAUAAGGGGUUUUCUCUUCUUUGCCCAUAGGAAUUCUAUUCAGAACAUGACAUGAAGUCAGGACUGCCUCCCCCCACCAUGCCUUAGAUAAACCACAAGUGUCUAACAUGGCAUUCACCAGGUCAGUCAACGUACGGUUUUUCCUUUCAGCAAUCCCGUUUGACUCGGGUGAAUAGGGAGGAGUCCUCUCAUGAAUAAUGCCAUGUUCUGCACAGAAAUCAUCAAAGACUUUGGGAAAGAACUCGCCACCACGAUCUGAUCUAAGACAUUUGAUCUUUCUCUCUAGUUGGUUUUCAACCUCAGCCUUAUAGAUUUUAAAGUAGUCUAAAGCCUCAUCUUUAGUUUUUAGCAAGUAUACAUAGCAAAAUCUAGACGCAUCAUCAAUCAAUGUCAUGAAGUAUCUCUUACCACCUUUUGUCAACACACCAUUCAUCUCACAAAGAUCAGAAUGUAUGAGUUCUAGUGGUGCCAGGUGUCUCUCCUCAGCAGCCUUAUGAGGCUUUCGAGGUUGCUUCGACUGCACACAACUAUGGCACUUAGAACCUUUGACUAUGGUGAUAUUCGGAAUUAAACUCAUGGUUGCAAGCCGAGACAUAGAGCCAAAAUUAAUAUGACACAAACGAGAAUGCCAAAUACUCGCAAGAUCAUCAACAUUAGCACAAAUAUGGUUCACAGACUUAUUAUUGAAAUCUAACAAAGAAAAGCGGAACAAGCCUCCGCAAUCAUAGCCUUUACCAAUAAAUUGUCCAGACUUGGACACAACUAAUUUAUUGGACUCUAAAACUACCUUGAACCCAUCUCUACAUAGAAGGGUUCUGCUAACGAGAUUCUUGUGUAUAGAAGGGACAUGAUGCACGUUCUUCAGCUGCACGAUCUUUCCCGAAGUAAACUUCAGAUCCACCGUGCCAGUGCCAUGAACAGAAGCAUGUGACCCAUUCCCCAUUAGCACGGAAGAAUCCCGGGCGCCCUGAUAAGAAGAGAACAAGUUGAUGUCAGAACACACAUGAACAUUAGCACCAGUAUCAAGCCACCAGCUAGGUGAUUGAAAUACUGAGAAGAUGAAAGGUAAAUUACCAUACCCUUUGUCUUCCUCAUUGCUAGCGACCACUGUGUUGACAUUGCCCUUUUUGCCACGGCGAUCCGCUCGAUCGGGACAAUCCUUGGCAAAAUGACCCGCCUCGCCACAUGCGAAACAUGUCAAUUCAGCCUUGUUCUUCUUCUUCUUGAAGUUGGUAGUUUUGUUGGGCUUGUUAGAUUUUGGCUUUCCUUUGCCCUUGUUGUGGUUCUUCUGAACCAUGUUGGCGCUGGAGUGGCCCUCGCCUCCUUUAGAUCCCGUGUCCUUAGCCCGAGCUUUCUCCUCAACAUCCAGAGACGCUAUCAGAUUUUCAACUGAUAUCUCCUGUCUCUUAUGUUUCAGAGCUGUGGCGAAGUUCCUCCAUGUAGAAGGCAACUUUGCAAUAAUGCAUCCGGCCACAAAUCGGUCAGGAAGGACUAUCUUAAGGUGGUCGAGCUCCUUGGCUAUACACUGUAUUUCAUGAGCUUGCUCUACAAUAGAGCGAUUAUCAACCAUCUUAUAAUCAUGAAAGCUCUCCAUGAUAUACAGGUCACUGCCAGCAUCUGAUGCACCAUACUUAGUAGUAAGUGCAUCCCACAACUGUUUCCCGUCUGUGUACUGCAUAUUCGCAUCAACCAGACGGUCAACAAGGGCGCUAAGAACGGCUCCCGUGAACAUAGUAUUGGCAUGGUCGUACUCUUUCUCCUGUUCAGGAGUCAGUGGACCCUCAGGUCUGCCUUUACUAACAUGGAAGACAUUCAUAGCAGUAAGCCAGAGCGUGGCCUUGACUUGCCAUCUCUUAAAGUGCAUACCAUUAAACUUUUCUGGCUUCAGCGCGUCGGCAAAAGCAGCCAUAGAAAAACUAGGAAAUUGUCUACAAUAAGGUUUUUGGAUUGUUGAAUAAUUAGACAAAUUCCAAAUUAAAUUCCGAAUAUAAAUCAUGACCAAAUCAGAAGAACUGAAAUAAAAGCCAAAUCAGAUGAUGCGUACUGAUUAGACUUACUGAUUGUUGGCGCGCGCCAGGAUCAGAUGGGUUGACGAGGUCAGCAGAUCACGAGCAGUCGCGAGAAGACGCUUCCCAAAAACCUUAUUCGCCCUCUCCCGGUGCAGGAUCUAGAAGACGAAGGGUUCCGGAGACCUGCUCUCCUGAUCGCAGAUGCACCUCUGCGGUCGGGACGAAGGGAACUAAAAGGCGGCUCAGCUAUGAAGAGAGGCGAAAGCGAACUGGGAUCUGGGAUGAUUUGGAGGCUGGCUGCCGGGCUCCUUUUAUAGGGCCGAGUCCGCGACCCCAGUGCUUAUCCGCCCACGAAAAUCUCGCAAUCAGUUGAGAUUUUAUAGGGAUCGGUUAGGAUAAGCGUAACAGCCAAGAAACCAAAAAAUCAAACGGCAAAAGGUAGCCGCGCCCCCGCAAGGCGAGGGGCCGGAUUUCGGCGGACCAUUCACGCGCAUGUCGUGCGCCCGCGCCCUUCGCCCCGCCCCGCCCCGCCCCGGCCCGGCCAGGCGAGGCGAGGCGAGCGAGCGCGCGCGCGCGUGUGGCUCUCCACACUCUCUCCUCUCAUCCAUGACUUGGUGAGUGAGUGUGGCUUCCAUAUUUAAGUUAGCUCUACUCCACAAGAGCUAGCAAUAUGGUGCUAUUGGUUCCACCUAUCCCUUUGCCAUCCACUUAUAUGGGCUUUUGAGAUUUUCCUGGGAUUUAUUUGAAUAACUUAAUUGGGCCAAGCCCAUAAAUCCUAACACUUAUUAACUGAGUAGUAACUGGCAUGUCUAGUCUACUGUUGUGUUGCACCAUAAAUUUCGAGAAAUGAGCCCACGCCUGGCCAUAGUAACUCAGAAAAUAUCAUUUGUACAUGUAUAUUAGACCCCUCCAGCUAUCUUGCCGACGCAUGAACGAGAAGACAGGUUAGACUUUGUCGAAACCCUCUUCGCUAGUGGAGGUAUCGACCAUCACUCGUCACUGUAACCCGAUGGUGAUCGACGUCCGUGAGCUUCCAUGUUAUUGUGUUAUGAUACUUGAGACUUUUAUUAUGACUAUGUAUGAGAUAUUGUCUCUUAUUAAUACUAGAUGAGAUAUGUCCUAUUAUGACUAUGGAUGAGACUUUUGUGAUGUAAUUGAUGAGACUAUGGAUUUAAAUAUUGUUAUGUGAUUGUGUGUGAGAUGUUUUAUGUGAAAAUAUGUUGUGCUAUAUAGUUUUUGAUAUAUUUAAACGGGAUGUGCAACAAAUAGGUUGUUUUUUAGUUAAGGAUUAGGACAAAACUAUUACAAUGCUCUCUCUAGUUGUCUUUUAAAAUUGGAAGGACGAGAGAGGACGACAGAGACGUCCCUGUCCUUCCCGCGGCCAAACGCACCCUAACUAAGCGGUAUGCCCGUACUCAGGUGGGGCCGGUGUUUGGACGCGGCAGCUGUAUAUAUAUGCUUGCCUUGCCUGCCGAGUGCCGGUCGUUUCCAUUUCGUUUCAGUCAGCAGCGGCUUCGCUUCUCCUCCAGUUCCCGUGCGCGUCGGAGAUGGCGACGAGUAGACGCCAUGUAGGUGGAGAACGGGCCGGUGCGGGUGCUGGAGGGGUGUCGUCCUUCGCCGCGUUGCUGCUGGGCUGCGCCGUCGUCAGCGCCGCCGCGCAGGGCCCCCGGCUCCCCUCCGACUACAAAACUCUGAGCGGUAACUAACGCACGCCCCAUGGCAGCCAACAAGUAGUGUAAUUUCCAUGCAGCGCAGCAAACCAUCCGAUUCCGUUCCUGCUCGCAGGUGCCGCUCCACUCGUGGUGGCCGAAGGCGGCUUCUCUGGCCUGUUCCCGGACUCCAGCGAGGGCGCGUACGCUUUCGCCGUGGCCGCCAGCGCGCCCGGCACGGCCAUGUGGUGCGACGUCCAGCUGACCAAGGACGGCGUCGGGGUCUGCCUCCGGGACAUCAACAUGAAGAACUGCACCACCGUCGACCAAGCGUUCCCCGCGAGGAGGCGGACCCACGUCAUCGACGGCGUGCGGAAGACCGGCUGGUUUGCCCCGGACUUCACCAUCGCCGAGCUCCAGUCCGUCUACCGUCAGUACCACCACUACUGCAAACUAAAGAAAGCUAGCCCUCCCUCCCUUGGUUUAACUAACUACCUCAUCAUCAAUUAAUUCUCCACUGUAUCUGUAUCUGUAUCAUGCAUGCAAUGCAUGAGCAGUGACACAGGCGAUCUGGUCUCGCACCGACAGGCUCGACGCGGGCAUGUACCCGAUCGUCAACGUCACCGGGCUCCCGUCCCUCGUGAAGCCAUCUCCGGUCUGGCUGAACGUGCAGCACCCCACCUUCUACAAGCAGCGCGGUCUGGACAUGAGCAGCUACAUCCUCUCGACCCAUCAAGACCUGGUACCCACCGUGGCAUACAUCUCGUCGCCGGAGCUGGGCUUCCUCCAGACCAUAUCCGCCGUCGCCGGUCGCACUCGCACGACGACCAAGCUCGUUUUCAGCUUCCUCGACAAGGCCCUCCUGGACCACUCCGUCAACAGGACGUACGGCUCGCUGCUGGCGAACCUGACGCUCGUCAGGUCCGUCGCGUCCGGGAUCAUGGUGCCCAAGAGCUACAUCUGGCCGGUGACCGGCGACAACUACCUGCUGCCGUCCACGUCCGUCGUCACGGACGCCCACAAAGCGGGGCUGGAGGUUUAUGCCUCUGACUUCGCCAAUGAUAGGGUCAUCCCCUACAACUACAGCUACGAUCCGGUGGCCGAGUACCUGAGCUUUGUCGGUGAUGGCGGCUUCUCUGUCGACGGCGUGCUGUCCGACUACCCUAUCACUGCGUCAGAGGCAAUUGGUAAGCCACUAAAAAUUAAAGCUCUUCAUUAGUACUUAGUAGCAGUGUGUUAUGUUUUUUCAAUGCAUGCAUGCAUGCAUUUGGAAGAAUCUUCUCAUAUAUAUCUGCAGGUUGUUUUGCCAAACUGAAUUCAAGCAAGACUGAUCAUGGUACGUUUCAGUCUGAUUGUGCUAUGAGAUGGUUGGACGUCUUCCAUUCCAACCAGAGUUUGACUAGCUGCUCCUAGCGCUCGUCUUCCUUAAUUCCAGGGAAACCCUUGGUCAUCUCGCACAACGGCGCCAGCGGAGACUACCCGGACUGCACAGACCUGGCCUACCACAGCGCGAUCGACGACGGCGCAGACGUCAUCGACUGCCCUGUCCAGGUCACGAGCGACGGAGUUCUUGUGUGCAUGAGCUCCGUCAACCUGCUUGACACCACGAAUGUUCAGACAACUCCUCUCGCGACCCCUCUUUGUCUUGUCCCGGAGAUCCAGUCUACGCCAGGGAUCUUCACCUUCAACCUCACCUGGGCCAGCAUCAGCAGCGGUGCUUUAAAACGUGAGUUUUUUUUCUUCUUCUCUUUUUCUUUUGAAACAACCUGCAUGCCCCUUCAUCUAUAUAUAUAUCUGCAGCCAAGAUUUCUUCCCCGGUGAGUGAGUACUAUCUCGUAAGGAACCCAAGGUACGCAAGCCAAGGGAAGUUUCUGAAGCUGUCCGACUUCCUUGCGAUGGUAAUGGGCAACGAUCUGUCCGGCGCCAUGAUCAUCAUCGAGGCGAGACACCUUAAUUCGCUGCAAGUCCCUGUUCAUCCUCCAUUACAACUGAAGUGAACUCAACUCCUCAAACACACAUUGUUUCUGCGCCGCCAGAACGCUGCGUACAUAGCGACGUCACUAGGAAUCGACGUCGUCGACUCCGUAACCGCCGCCUUGAACGCCGCCGGCUUCGACAAGCAGACGAGCAAGCAAGUCCUCAUCCAGUCGACCGACAGCGCCGUCCUCGUCAAGCUGAAGCAGCAGGGAACAAGAUGCAGGCUCGUCUACACCCUCCCGCUGGGCAUCGGGGACGCCUCGAACUCGUCGCUGCAGGACAUGAAGAACUUCGCGGAGGCCGUGGUCGUCGACAGGGGGUCCGUGUUCGCCGUGAGCUACGCGUUCAUCGAGGGCCAGAACCGUCUCGUGCCGGACCUGCAGGCGGCGGGGCUGGCCGUGUUCGCGCAGGUGUUCCGGAACGAGUUCGUCGCCCGCCCGAUCGACUUCUUCGGGGACGCCACCGUGGAGAUCAACUACUACGUCCAGGCGCUUGGUCUGGCAGGCCUCAUCGCUGAUUUCCCCAGGACGGCCAGGAGAUACAUGGGUAAGUCUCGUUGGCUGCCAUGGCGGCGGGCGUCCGCAUGAAUGCGUGCUCUCAUCUGACGACAGCUGCGUGUAUGUACGUUACGUACGCUUGCAUCUGCAGAGAACACCUGCACGGUUCUGGGGAAUGGCAUGCCCGGCUACAUGCGGCCUGUGGAGCCUGGCGCAAUCAUGAAGCUGCUCCGGUCCUUCCAAGCCCAGCCGCCGUACGUGGCGCCGAUGCCGGCGCUGAAUGCGUCGAGCGUGGAGGAGCCGCCUCUUCCUCCUGCCGCGCCAAGAACCGUGCCGCCCGGUGGUGGCCUCUCAGGACCAGCGGACGCCGCCGGAACUCCUGCUGCUGGUGCUCGUCACACGGCUGCCGUAGGCACUGGUCUGCUGCUCGUGGUGGUUUCCGCAGCUUUGCUGGUCUGGGCAGACACACGUGAGACUGUGGCUAAUUUAUAGAUACAGGACUGUACACAGAAUUAAUGUGCGUGUAGCCUAUAUAUACCUCUCCUAGCUAUCCCUCUGUUUGAUGUCGCUGUGCAACGGCAUACAUCUGAUAGAUCCUACUACGAUGUCACGUCACGUGUGCUCGGCUCCAGCGUCCUUAUAUUUGUACCUCCACGCAACGAAGACAUAGGCGAAGAACUGGAGGGCGCUGAGCGCGGCGAGCAGCCAGUAGAAGUAGUCGAGGUGGCCGCCGUUCAUGUUAUCCGAGAACCAGCUCUGGCCCCUGGCCGCCGUCGCCCGGUGGAUGCCCGACACGAGCGCGCUGCUGACGAAGCUCCCGACGCCGAAGACACUGAUGUACAGCGCCAGCCCGACGCUGCGCAGCCUGUCGGGCACCUGGUCAUAGAAGAACUCCUGCAGGCCGACCAUGGCGAACACGUCGGCGGCGCCGAACACCACGUACUGCGGCACCAUCCACCACAGGCUCAUCGGCAGCUGCUGCUGCGCCGCCGCCUUGCCGGGCGUGUCGGCCAGCAGGCCGGCGGCGGCCCGCGCGACCCGGAGCCGGCGCGCCUCGACGAGCGCCGCGGUCACCGUGGACGCGACGGACAGGAGCAUCCCCGCGCCGAUGCGCUGCAGCAUCGUGAUCCCCGACGGCCUGCCGGUGUACCGCCGCGCCAGCGGGACCACCACGCGGUCGUAGACCGGGAUCAGCGCCAUGAUGGUCACGCUGAUGAAGGCCAGCAGCGCCGCCGCCGGCACCUUGGCCAGCUCGCCCACGCGCCGGUCCAGCGUCGCCGCCUGCUUUGUGAAGAACGUCAUGGACUGCGAGUACACCACGGCGUACACCAGCGUUGUCGCCCAUAUCGGCAACAGACGGAGGACGUCCUUGGUUUCGCUGACCAGGAGGACGGCUGUGUUCGUCGUCGCCACCUGCGCUUCCUCAUCGACUCUGCUGCUGCUGCUGCUACGUCGCUGCCGACGCCAGCAGCCAGCGAAAGCCUCGGCGGCGUGAGCGAACAGGCCGUUCCGCGUCCCGACCGUGUCGCCGGUGUGCCGGUACGUCCUCGUACCGAGCAGGAACACGGCGAGGGCGCACGCCAUGACGGCGCACGGGACGGCGAAGCCGAGGCCCCAGCCGAGGUUCUCCUGCACGUAGCUGACGACCAGGAGCGUGGCGACGGUGCCGGCGCACACGCCGAAGUACCACCAGUUGAAGAAGGCGCCCCUGGAGACGGACUCGCCCGGGUCGCUGCCGCUGAACUGGUCGGCGCCGAACGCGUGCGCGCACGGCUUGUGCCCGCCCUCGCCCACGGCCACCACGUAGAGCGACACGUAGAACAGGACCACCUGGGCGGCGGGCGGCGGCGGGCACUUCUCACCGGCGGUGUGGGCGGCAGCGUCGCAGUGCUGCCCCCCAACCACGGUUGACACGGCCAGCAGGCCUAAACCCUGCAUGAUGUGUGAAAUUAAGAUGGUGUGAUCUUAGUUACUAAAUAAAAUUAUAUAUAAAACAACAUUAACUAACUUAAUUUACGUUACCAGGAUGUAUAGGAGUGACGCUAAGACAAUGGUGAGGUAUCUUCCCAGCCACAGGUCAGCAAUGGCGCCGCCCAGCAGGGGCAGCAUCAGCGCCGUGCCGUUCCACACGUUUGUGGCGGCAGCCGCGGCCGCGAUUCCCUCUUGCAGGGGUCCCGUUAGAUAGGUGAUCAGAGUUGAGGCCACUGCGUAGAAAGCGAAGCGCUCGCCGAUCUCCGCCGCUGCAUGCAUGCACACACCCAUCGAUCGAUCCGUAUGAGUACUAUAUGAUCGAUGAACUGAUCAAUGAAACCUUUGACUUGCCUAUUAUAAAAACGGCUGAUCUCCAGCCGCCGGUUCUCAUCGUGAGGUACGCAGUGCAGGAUCCAGGUCGUCGGCGUCGGAGCUGGAGAAGAUCGAAGGUCGCGGCGUCAGAUCAGAAGAUGAAGGAGAGAGAUGGGACAUUGAGCUGAGCAGAUCGGCGUGAGGGUUUGUCUCAUAUCGUGACAUCUUUAGCCAAAGGGGACCAUUCUUUCCGCAUCGUGGCCUUGGCUGCCUACAAACAUGGACUGUUACAUGCUUACACGUAUGGGGAUGUCUACACUUGCAUGCAUGUGAUCGAUCCUCCAGCAACAAAUCUGACCAGGUCUAGAGAGAGUGGCAUGCAACCACCCAAGUUACAUUAGGUACUCCACGUGAGAAGGCGACGUGCAACCGUCAAGAUUGGACGUCAGACAUGUCAAGAUCAUCUUGGCUCUCUAGGGAUGGCAACUCGAAAUUCCUUGUCGAAGAAUGGCUCUUCAUCCCUAUUCCUACGGCAAAAAAUUCGAGGAAUGGCUCUCCAUAGUUCAUCCCCACUAAGGGCUUCACUACCGGAAUCCGGGCCUUUGCCGAGUGCCGAGUGCAGGGCACUCGGCACAGAGAAGCACUCGGCAAAGAGCCCUUUGCCGAGUGGCAAAUACUCGGCAAAGACGGCUCUCGGCAAAGGGCCGUUAGCGGCCGUCUGACGUCACCUACAACCCAGAUGACGGGCCCGAGGCCUACACCAACCCCGCCGUCUACAGCCGCCUCCAUGACUACACCGCCAUGGCGCAGGAGGUACAUGAUCCAGAAUAUGAUCCGAGCACCGAGCCGAUCGACCCCGAUGUGCUCAUGAGGGUAGGAGGAGGCAAGAGACAUGGGCAAUACUGGAUUGCCGACGGGGCAAUCGGCUCGUCCUCCACUCCCACUCAGUCUCAGGUGAGAGCAAGGAGCACGGGCUCGAGUCCAGCCAUACGACCUCGGCACGACAGCUCACAGCAUCGCAUACAACAACUCGAGGUUAGUGCUUCUGUAACUCGUCCUUCCUUGAGUUAUAUACCUUCUCUUUGAGUUACUAUAACGUUGGCUUGUAAUAUUACAGACCCAACUAGAAGAAGAGAGGAGGGAACGUCACGAGAUGGAGGCGAGGAUGAUGGCGGAGCGGGAGGCGGCUCGCCUGGCAGAUCAUCAGAGGACGGCGGAGAUGUUCCAGUACAUGCAGAGCCUUGACGCCGCACAGGGCAUCGCUCCGCCACCUCCAUUGUUCCCUCCAGUUGACCCUGCUCUCUUCCAUACUCCUGUGAGUAUCAAAAUUGUAGUUAGAUUUUGGUAAUGCAUCUGGUAUAACACAUGCAAUCUCUUCUCUGUGCAGGGCCAAUCUUGGGCGGCAUCCAACAACCCUCCGGAAGGGUUCAGCCCAACGCAGCACCAGUCAAACCGCCCACCUCCAUGAGUGUUAUGUUUUCAGUGUUUAGACUUCAGAACUUGUGUAGAAUACUUAUGUUUGUGUUUGAUACUUAUGUCAGAGUUUGAGACGUAUGAGACUUAUGUUUGUGUUGGAUACUUGUGUUGAACACUUAUGUUUGUGAUGGAUAUUUAUGUUUGUGUUGGCUAUUUAUGUUUGUGAUGAUAUCUGUGAUGUAUAUAUGUAAUAUAUAUAUAUAUAUAUAUAUGAUAUAUUUUGUUUGUGUGGAUGGAAUAUAAAAAACAAAUAAAAAAGGUGCCUACUGGUCACUUUGCUGAGUGUAAUACUCGGCAAAGAGGUUCUUUGCCGAGUGUCAGGGUCAUAGCACUCGGCAAAGAACAAAGACCUGGGCACUGGUAUAGGUUCUUUGCCGAGUGUAAUGUCUCUGGCACUCGGCAAAGAGGCACGCUUUGCCGAGUGCCGUACGUAGCACUCGGCAAAGAACCUAACAUGGGGACCCUCCCUGGCGGGUUCUUUAUCGAGUGUCCUAGGUGGCACUCGGCAAAGAUUGAUUCUUUGCCGAGUGCUGCGGGGCAGACACUCGGCAAAGGUACUCCUUUGCCGAGUGUCAUCCGUGACACUCGGCAAAGACGCCGUCUCCGUCACCCGUCGCCGUAACGGCUGCUUUUCUUUGCCGAGUGCUCCCUGGCACUCGGCAAACCUCUUUGCCGAGUGCCCGAGAAAAAGUACUCGACAAAGAAGGCUUUACCGAUGCACUGUGUGCCGAGCCUUCUUUGCCGAGUGCGGCACUCGGCAAAGCCUUUGCCGAGUGUUUUUAAGGCUUUGCCGAGUGCUUCAGGCACUCGGCAAAGGCGGCGAUUCCGGUAGUGCUUGUUCGGUUAUUUUCAAUCCAUAUGGAUUGGAGGGGAUUGAUACGGAUUGGAAUAUAUUUUGACUUACUAGGGAUUGAAACCCCCUCAAUCCCCCUCAAUCCAUAUGGAUUGAGGUAGAACCGAACAAGCCAUAAGAGUUUUACGUCCCUAUCCCCAUGCACGAAGUUUUUUCUCCUAUAUGCUCGCCCUGCUGUGGAAUUUAUCCACAUGAGGGCGUGUUCGUUUUAGUAUUAAUUCAUGUGGAUUAGGUGAGAUUGAGUCAGUUUAAAUACAUAGCAGGUUAAAAUACAUCUCAAUUCCACUUCAAUCCAUAUAGGUUGGAAAUAAUCGAACAAGGCCUCAACAAUCUAUUCCCACUAGGAAUACAAUAUUUAGGGGUAAACUUAAAUUGAUUGUACCAAAUCAAUACAAAUUAAACAAGUAAGAUUUAAAAUUACAAGAGACGUCUACUUUGGACUUUAGUUUGCUAGUUUAUAAUAGACUAUGUAUUGAGUUAUUAGUAUAAUUUUAACAUUAUCAAUGAACUAAUUUAGAUCAAGAGAUGUUCAUGGGACGGGUAUGCACGAAACAGGUCCCUAUGAACCCGACGAAGACUAGAUUUUUCUGUUACCCCCUCCCAUCCCUAAUGUAAAAAUUCCCCGUGAAGAAUCGGGAUCGAGUCCCAUUACCAUCACUACCUCUCCAAGGAAUCACUACCAUUGUGACUCCAGAGGCAUACGUAAGCGAUGUUUCCCUCGUAAACUUGGCGACAAGAGACAAGAGCACAUCCAAAAAAACACUAAUUUGGAGAUUUUAAAUGUGCUAAUUUCAGGAUUUCGGAUCUUAACUCUAUGCUUUCAACAUGACCUAUUGUAAAUAAAAAAACCCAUCAAUCAAAAUUGUUACACUAUGUAAUCCACGCACGCCCUAUGAAACCAAUUUUCAGUGUUUCACAUAUAGCAAACACCCUUUGGAUGGAGAUUUACACAUAGCAUUUGUUGGCGCUGAUCCAGGCGCCAAUCACAGCGGUAAGAACCGGCGGCGGUGCUCUCUGCGGAGGCGCAGACGGUCCGUGACCUGGCGUAGGGGUUAGGUCCCUGCCUGACGAGCCGGAUAGUCCGCGCGUGCAUAAGGGUGGCGGAGUUCGCCAACAACGCCUGAAUCUCGUUCCUGGGAGGACCCCGUCGGGGAGGAGAGAUCCUAGACUUUAUCUUGGGAUCGAUAGGCCACCCAAGACGCCUCUAACUUACAUAGAGCCGAAGAGGUGAAGAUUUAGAGAGAAGAAUCUAAUUUACUGUCUACUCAUAGGGUAACAGGUAAAGAACUAGAUGUAUAUUGAUUAUUUGAUCGAUUGUUGGUGUUUCAAUCGGUCAUAGCCCUCCAUGUAUAUUGAUUAACGGGAGGUCUGGACCCGUUACAAGCUAUUUCUUGAGUUAAUCCCCGUAGAUUUAGCUAACAAACCCCGCAAAAAACUUGGAAUCCUAACUGAUUCUACGCGCGCGUGGAUCGUUCGGCCUCAGGGCCGAACCAUCCGCCGUCUUUUUUGGUGCUCAACAUAUGUCCCCUGCUUUUUGGCAGAGCUGAGCGAACCAAAAGCAACAAACUCGAUGUGAUCACAUCGAUUUUCUUAGGCAUCUUGCCACAUACUAGGAUGGUACCGCUUCAGUAAACACCCGUUUAACGCCUUGGGCAAGUAUUUGGCUUGUAAUGUUUGCAACAAGUAGGCGUUACCGGACAUCACUUGUGUGACCUUGCAAGGGCCUUUCCAGCUUGGCGACCACUUUUCAAACUUUUGGUCUUUACUCAUUAGAGGCAAGAUGGUCUUCCAUACCAAGUCCCCUACCUAGAACGAUUUAGCCUUGAACUUCUUGUUGUAAGCUUUGACGACCAUGAUCUUGCCCUUUUCUAUUUCACUUAAAGUUGUCACUCUCUUGUCAGUCACUUCAUCAAUAUUUUCCAAUAUUAAAUUAUAAUAGUCACCGACAGUUAGAUCAUUUUGCCUGGUGAACCUGACAUCAUUUAAACUUAUCUCUACAUGCAACACUGCUUCCUGCCCAUAGAGAAGCUCAAAUAGAGAUACUUUAGUAGCAUGGUGUUUCUAUAUUCUAUGAGCCCAUAAAGCUUUGGACAAAAUCUUAUGCCAAUGCUUAGGAUGAUUAGAUAUCUUCUUUUUAUCAGGCUAAUCAAUGUUCUAUUACUAGACUCGGCCUGUCCAUUGGCCUGAGCAUAAUAUGGAGAUGAAUUGAGCAAUUUAAUUCUAUAUAAUUCAGCAAACUCAUGUACCUCCUUUAACCUAAAAGAAGCCCCCUGGUCUGUGGUCAAAGUCUGGAGAAUGCCGAAUCUAUGAAUAAUAUGCUCAGUUAUGAACUCAAUUACCUCCCUGUGUGUCAUGUUCUUCAUAGCAAAGACUUCAGCUCAUUUGGUGAAAUAGUCCGUGGCAACUAACACGAACUGAUGCCCUUUUGAUGACAAAGGAUGAAUUUCUCCUAUAAAGUACAAUCCCCAUCCUCUGAAAGGCCAAAGUUUAAUGAUAGGAUGUAAUUAGGCUGCGGGGACCAACCGUAAGUCGCCGAAUUUCUGACAUACUUGGCAUCCUUUGUAGUACUUGAAACAAUCAGCUAUCAUGUUAGGCCAAUAGAAGCCAGAUCUUCGUAAUAACCACUUCAUCUUUGGAGUCGAUUGAUGGGUACCACAAAUCCCCUCAUGUACUUCGGCCAUGGCUAAUAUAGCAUCACCUGGGCCCAAGCAUUUAAGCAGGACAUCGUUGUCCGUUCGGCAGUAGAGUUCAUCACUCAUUAAAACAUACUUCAAAGCUAUAAAUCAAACAUUCCUAUCCGUCAUAACAUUAGGAUUUUGUAGGUAAUUAAUUAUGGGUGUCCUCCAAUCAAUUGCAUCGGCUUCGUUAUCAGCCGAAUCAAUCAGGAGAACUUUCCUGGCAACGUCGGACGGUCCGGCUCCCACACCCGGACGGUCCGGCUCCCACACCCGGACGGUCUGAGACCUAGGAAUCUAGAACGGCACCGGUUAUCAUAUUUUCGGUGUUGUGAAAUUUCCCUCGCUUUAUCUAAAAAUUUUCCUCGCUUUAUUUGAUAACCUGAUGCAUUCUGCGCUAAAUUGUUAGCUCUACAAUUCUCAACCCUAGAUAUGUGCCGAAUGUUGAUUCGCCAAAAGAAUGAAUUAUGUCCCAACACUUUUCAAGGUAACUAUUUAGAGUUCCAUCUAAGCAUUGGUACUCUUCUAAUACAUGUUGGACCACCAGAUGAGAAUCACCAAAAGCCUUCACAUGUCUUACUCUCAUACAAUUUAAAAUCUCCAAGCCAAAUAAGAGGGCCUCAUAUUCGGCUUGAUUGUCAGUGCAAUAAGUUUUUAAUCGACUAGAAAAGUCAAAGGAGGCGUUACUUGUGAAACAAGCAUGAUUCCAAUCCCUUGUCCUUCAUUGCAAACCGAUCCAUCAAAAUAUAGAGUCUAGGGAGUAACAAUGAGGUACAAUAUAUCUACUAUAUAAGCAUCAUCAAUCCGAUGUUCUACAAUAAAAUCUGCUACGACCUGGCCUUUCAUAACUUUUAAUGGUUCAUAGGCUAAGUCAUACUCUAUAAGGGCAUAAACCCAUUUGCCAAUUCUACCACUCAUGAUCGGGUUUUGCAACAUGUAUUUGAUCACAUGAGUUUGACCAGAAACAGUGCAAUGACUAGAUAACAAAUAACACCUACUUUUGGUGCAUGCAUAAAAUAGGCAUAGACAUAACUUCUCAAUGAAAGUGUACCUUGUUUCAUCGUCCACCAGCCUCCGACUUAGGUAGGUUACCACAUGCUCCUUUUCUUCAGUCUCUUGUGUCAGAACAACUCCCAUGACUUUUUCUUCGGCUGCAAUGUAUAACCUGAAUGGCACUCCUGCCUGUGGCGCUUUUAAAAUGGGAACCGAAGACAAAUAUUUCCUAAUAAGAUCAAAUGCUUCCUGCUGUUCUGCCCCCAGGUGAAUUCGACAUCAUUUUAAGCCGAAGGAUAGGAGUGAAGGCAUCAGUCUUCCCGACUAGAUUAGAAAUAAACCUUCGUAAAAAAAUUUACCUUGCCGAGGAACUUCUGCAUUUUAGGCUUACAGGUCGGAGGUCCCACAUUCCGAAUGGAUUUAAUUCGGUCAGGGUCUAUCCUUAUACCAUGUUCAUGAAUGAUAAAUCCUAAGAAUUUACCAGUCGACACUCCAAAAGCACAUUUGCGUGAGUUCAUCUUUAGACCGUACCAACACAUUUUAUCAAAGGAUUUGCGCAAAUCAGCUAUAUGAGAACUAAACUCAGCCAAUUUGACUACAAUAUCAUCGAUGUAAACUUCCACAGUGUUUCCCAAUAGCUCGUGAAAGAUCAAACUCAUAGCCCUCUGAUAAGUAGAGCCAGCAUUUUUCAGACCAAAUGCCAUGACAACCCACUCAAAUAAACCAAUGAAGAUUGGACAUAUAAAGGCUGUUUUAAACGCACCUUCUUCGGCCAUAAAAAUCUGAUUAUAUCCAGCAUUACCAUCAAGAAAGCUAAUAAUUCUAUUUCCUGACGCAUUAUUAAUCAACAUGUUGGCUAUGGGCAUAUGAUAUUCAUCUUUAGUAGUUGCUCUAUUUAAAUUGCAGAAAUCAAUGCAUACUCUGAGCUUACGUGAUUCUUUCUUUUCCACCGGCACAAUAUUGGAGACCCACUCUGUGUAUCUGCAAGGUCUAAUAAAAUUAGCUUCUAGCAACCGGUGAAUUUUGUCCUUUAUUCGUGGGCGUAAGUCUGGACGAAAUGUUAUGGGUUUCUGCUUGAAAGGUCUGAAACCAAACUUAAUAGGCAGUCGAUGCUCUACUAUCUCUCGUCUUAAUCCUGACAUCUCAGUGUAAUUCUAAGCAAAGCAAUCAGAAUAUUCUUUUAAUAGACCGAUCAUUUUAUCUCUAGGAUCGGUCUCUGUGGGGGACAGAUAUCCCCCGGGUCCACUAAAAGGCGAAAGGGUCUCGCACGGGGCCUCGGGUCAGUUACCCCGGAAGGCCAUCCCUUCACGGGCCGGGCUAGAGCUACUAACGGAAUGGGCCGACCUGAGAAGGCGACAGACUCAAGCCCAUGCAUCCCGUCAAAUCGUGCGCUAUCCAAAGAACCGUCCGACUUUCCCGCGCAUGGCGCCAUCAAAUGUCGAGGCAUAUUAGGGAUGAGUCGAUGAUGUUUUUAGGUGAUCAAUUCAGUUGGUUCACUAUUAUUUAGGAAACAUGUGAUCAUGGUGUACAUAUGGAGUGCCCCACGGUCGUGUAUAUAAGGCCCAGGGGGUACCCCAUCAUUUUCAUUCACAUCUACCUAUCUCAUUAGCUUUUCUCCAUCCAAGAGACAUCGCUUGUAACCCAUCACAUAUAGAUCCACCCUAGGAAGUAGGGUAUUACGCCUCUCCAAGCGGCCCGAACCUGUAGAAAAUUGUCUGUCUCUCUCUUUUGUGCAUUCAGCACAAACCAUUGAGUUACAAUCAACAGCACCGUCCUACCCAAAAGCACCGCAAGGGUAACCCUGGGUGUGCGGUCGAGCUCUAAACACCGAUAGUUGGCGCGCCAGGUAGGGGGUGUGUCGUUGAUCCAAGCUAGCUCAAUGGCCAUCCCCUCCAAAUGCAAGAUCGCCCUUCACCCCGGGACCAUGUUCUGCUUUGGAACCAUCUCAUUCAUAGCGGAUGAAGAGGGAACUCUGCACCGCGUAGCAGAUCCGCUGGAGAAGAAGCUUUCCUCAGAAAUCCCGAGGGGAGCCAGAAUAGAACAGCGGGUGGCACAACCACUCGCAUCCUGAGCAAAGAUGACCUCUUACAAACCAAAGGCCGGGAGCUCGCCUACCCAAAGAACUCCGCUGUCCACCUCGCCCACAAAGGAGUGGACACGGAUCACUCGAAAAAAGGAAGCAAACACCCCGAGUCAGGGGACGAGAACACGCCGAGCCAUCUUUCCGACGCUUUCGCCCACAAAGGAGGACGGAAGAAAGAGCGCCAUCGCGCUGGCUCCUUUCUACCCCGACGUCCUCUUUAUUGAGGGGAGAUUGGAGUCAUCACCCAUCUCCGACGAUGAGCCUACCAUGCAAAGGGAAGAACUCCCCAGCGUGAAGCACGACGAUGGAGGAACAGACGCCGGAACGUGCGGCGACAUCACGAGGCUAGGAAACGGGAUCCGGCGCAGCCCGUAUCCCGGGACGAAGCCUCGGAAAUAGGAGAAACUCCCGACGAGCGAGUACACCGGGAGAAGCGAAACUCUCGCCGCCGCGAUCGCUGACAAGCUUAGGUCCGAGAACGAGAGCAAGCCGAGCAAAGUGCAAGGCUGCGCCGAGAGGACCCUCUAUUCGCUCGGAACCUGUACCUCGACUUUGCUCGUGCGAUGAACACGCCGAGUGAAGUUGGAGGGGUAUUGGCUCAGAUAGCUUACGACCUCCUGUGAACUCCAGACGCGGAAGGCUACCGGCGGCUGCUUACUCAGGUAGCUAAUCACCUUCUACCCAUCGCUCAUCCUCUAAACGACCUGCGUCACGCCAUCAACAGCCAGCGAGACGCACAGAUCUCCAUCAACGCUUCGCGCGAUCGACGACACGAAAAUGAGAUAAGGCGCUGGGAGGAGUAUGACCGGGAUCACGGUGUCCCGGCACGAAGUCGCGCCACCCAUGCUGAGUCAGCUGUAGCCUCGACUAGUGGGCCAUUCCAGGGACGGUUGAGACGACAUACUACCGACUCCUCUCCCUGGGGCUGACAACACGAACACCAACAAGAAGACACGUGCGGAGUUUCCACGCUUACUCCGCGUCUCCGGGCCAUCCAGUGGCCCCCAACUUCAAGGUCUCCAUCGUCGACAAGUACGAGCCCAAGCAGGACCCGGGCGGUUUGGUUGGCCGUCUACACGACUGCUGCCUGGGCCGCCGGGGCGACAGAGGACGUGAUGACAACAUACUUGCCCAUUGUCCUAGGGCAAGAUGCACUACAGUGGUUCCGACAUCUACCCCGACACUGCAUCGAUGAUUGGAACGACUUCAAUCGGUGCUUCAUCGCCAACUUAUAGUCCCUCUCUGACAAGCCGGCGCAGCCAUGGGACCUCAAAUCCAUCUGACGCUAGAGCGAGGAGACCCUUCGGUCGUACCUCAAGAGGUUUCAGACCAUGAGGAACCGCAUCCAUUCGGCGCAGCCAUGGGACCUCAAAUCCAUCUGGCGCUAGAGUGAGGCGACAAUGAUCAAAGACUUCUACCGGUGAUCUAAUGACUCAGCCUUUGUAUGAGCCAUACUCCAGAAAGCACCCGCCACCUCCGAACAAUUGUUCCGGGAGGUGGACCUCUACAUCACCGCGGAUGAACGGGCCCAGGACCUCACCGGAGGCACAAAACCCGCGCCACAUGCGCCACGGUGCGACGCGAACCAGCAGCCUGACAAGCGAUGGGAGAAGAGGCCCCACGAGAAGGUGCACACCACCGGGCCACCCGUCGCUCAAGCCCGCGGCGCACCCCGCGGAGGGGUACAUACAGUGGAUGAAAUCCUCGAUGCCCAGUGCCUGUACCACAAGGACAUGCGCCACACCCUAUGGAACUACAGGGACUUCAAGCAUUCCGUCGGGCAUGGUCGACCAUUCCAGCCUCUACCGCCUCCCCCACCGCGAGGAGAGCCUGGCGAGCCCAGGCAGCCUCGGCAACAGGAAGGGGGAGGGGGUUGAGCUUUCCCAUGCGUUGACAGGGAGGUCAACGUCAUCUUCGGAGGGCACAGAGCACAAGAGAAUAGGAGGUAGCAAAAGCUCAACGACCGGCAGGUCCUGGUGGCUACCACCAGUGCCCCAGCUCCUUACUGGUGGUUGGAGCGCGCGAUAAACUUCAGUCGAGCUGAUCAAUGGCUCAACUUUGAUCAUCCCGGCAAAUACCCGCUCCUCGUUGAUCCAGUGAUCCGAGAGAGCUGGGUGAAGAAAGAACUAGUGGACAGUGAAGCAACAUCAACGUCACCUUCCCCUGGACGCUCCUGGCCCUGGGGGUCGCACUCAAAGACCUCACCGAGUCAGAUACUCCUUUCUUCGACAUCGUGCAGACUGAAGGGGAGUACCCACUCGGACACAUAUACAUGUCCAUCACCUUCGGGACCCCAGAGAACUACAGAACCAAGUUCUUGAGGUUUGAGGUGGCGCACUUCGAUUGCGGGUACAUCGCCAUCAUCAGAAGGCCAGGACUGGCGAAGUUCAUGGCCAUUCCACAUUACCCAUACAUGAUACUAAAGAUGUCGGGACCUCAAGGAAUCAUCACUGUGCGUGCUGACUUCCAAGGCGCCACAGAAUACUUCCGGGGAGCCAUUCAAACAUCUCUCACUGCUGGGCCCUCGACAGCUCUUCCCACGCAGGCGAACACCAGGUUGGAGGAGGAGAAUCUCACAAUACCCACUAAUGAAGCUCAGGUCGUGACCUCUAUACGGCCGACUGAAGAGACUAAGAGGAUUAAUCUGGGAUUCUCUGAUGAGCGCAAGACUGCCAUCAUCAGAUCCAGCCUUGAUGACAAAUAGGAAAGCACGCUCAUCCAGUUCCUGCAAGAUAACCGGGACGUAUUCGUAUGGCAACCUGCGGAUAUGCCGAGAGUCCCGAGAGAACUGGCCGAGCACAAAUUGAAGGUGUAUCCACAAGCAAGGUCGAUUCGACAAAAGCUACAUCAUUUCACGCCUGAUAAAAGGGAAUCUAUUCGCGCCGAGUUAGCUCGCUUAGUGUCAGCAGGGUUCAUUAGGGAGGUACUGCACCCUAAGUGGCUAGCAAAUCCUGUUCUUGUACUAAAAAAGAAUAAAGUUGAUUAGUGCAUGUGCGUUGACUAUACUGAUCUCAACAAGCAUUGUCCGAAGGAUCCCUUUGAGCUCCCUAGAAUAGAUCAGGUAGUUGACUCAACUGUUGGCUGCUCUAUGCUCUCCUUCCUAUACUGCUACUCCGGAUAUCAUCAGAUCAGCUUAGCAAAAGAAGAUGAGGAGAAGUCUGCUUUCAUCACACCAUUUGGAGAUUUAUGUUAUACCUCCAUGUCGUUCGGCCUCAAGAACGCUGGAACGACUUACCAGAGAGCCAUCCAAACAUGUUUAGCCGAUCACUAGGGCAAGAAGGUGGAAGCUCACGUCGAUGAUGUGGUUAUCAAGACAGAAAACUUAGAAAACUUCAUUGAGGAUUUGCAACUGGUCUUCAACAGCCUGAGGCGCUAACGGUGGAAGCUGAACCCAGAAAAAUGUGUCUUCGGAGUACCAGCCGAAAAGCUGCUCGGAUUCAUUGUCAGCCAUUGGGGAAUUGAAGCAAAUCCGGAGAAGAUCGAGGCCAUCAUGAGAAUGGAAGCGUCGCGAUCGCAAAAAAGGUGCAGAGGCUUACUGGAUGCAUGGUAGCUCUAAGCAGGUUCAUAUCGAGGCUAGACGAGAAAGGAAUGCCUUUUUAUAAAUUACUCAAGAAGAUGGACAAGUUUCAGUGGACCACAGAAGCACAAGAAGCUCUAGAGGCACUGAAGAAGUUCUUGACCACUCCACCAGUACUCAAGCCACCACGUCGAGCUACACCCGGUCAGCCGGCAGAAGAUCUGCUCCCGUAUAUCUCCUGCACGACUCACGUGCUAAGCACCGCGUUAGUAGUCGAGCGGGUGGAGGAAGGACACUCAUACCCGGUGCAGCAUCCAGUUUAUUUCAUUAGCGAAGUCCUCGGGCCCUCAAAGAUAAGGUAUCCUCAAGUCCAAAAUCUGCUGUAUGCGGUACUUCUAACCGCUCGCAAGCUCUGACACUACUUUGAUGACCACAAAGUCAUAGUAGUAACAGGAUUUCCGAUAGGUGACAUUCUUCACAACAAAGAAGCUAUGGGAAGAAUAGACAAGUGGGCAUGCGAGCUAGGAGCUCACGACAUAGAGUUCCGAACCCGCACGACAAUAAAGACUCAGACACUGGUGGACUUCAUAUCAGAAUGGACUGAGCAUCAGGUCCCAGAAAGCCCAGAAGUUGCUGAAGUAUGGAGAAUGUACUUUGAUGGCUCGCUGAAGCUGCAAAGAGCGGGUGAAAGGAUUCCCUUUAUUGCUCCCGGAGGUGAACAACUUAGGUAUGCACUCCAGCUUUUGUUUCUGGCAUCCAAUAAUGCAGCAGAGUACGAAGCACUGGUCCACGAGCUGAGCAUCGCGGUAUCACUCGGCAUCAAGAAGCUGAUGGUGUACGGGGACUCGCUGGUAGUCAUAAGCUAGAUAAACAAAGAUUGUGACUGCUCGACCGACUCAAUGGAAAAUACUGCGCAGCCAUGCGGAAACUGGAAGACAAGUUCGAAGGAUUGGAGUUUCAUCAUGUGGAAAGGGAUCGCAAUGCGGCAGCUGAUGCAUUGUCGAAACUGGGAUCCAGUCGGGCCCAAGUUCCACCUAGGAUUUUUGUCCAAGAAAUACAACAACCAAGCAUCAUCACGGACCAGAUGGAAGAAUGCAACGCCCUGAGUCAGCCAUAGGCAGAUCCUAAUGACUAGAAAGAGCCAAUCAUCAGGUACAUAAAAAAUGAAGAGGAGCCGGAUGACAAGGCUGCGACAGAGCGCAUUGCAAGGUAGUCAACCCACUACACCAUCAUAGGGGGUUUGCUGUAUAGAAGAGGCGCAGGAGGAGUCCUCAUGAAAUGCAUCCACUCGGCCACCAAGAGACAUCUAUUAGAUGAAAUUCAUGAUGGGCAGUGUGGUGUGCAUGCUGCAUCAAGGACUCUGGUGGGAAAGGCUUUCAGAUCCGGUUUCUACUAGCCAACUGCGAAGAGUGAUGCUGCCGAGUUAGUCCAAAAGUGCGAGGCGUGCCAAUUCUUGUCAAAACAGCAGCACUUGCCCCACAACAGCUGUAGACCAUUCCUGUAACCUGGUCGUUUGCAUGCUGGGGGCUGGACAUGAUCGGACCUUUCAAGAAAGCUCAGGGAGGUUAUACUCAUAUACUGGUUGCCAUUGACAAAUUUAUGAAGUGGAUAGAAUACAAGCCAAUUGCUUCCUUGACCUCAGCAAAAGCAGUGGAGUUUAUUCAAGAGAUAAUGUUUAGGUUUGAAAUACCAAAUAACAACAUCACCGACCUGGGAUCCAACUUCACCAGCUCGGAGUUCUUCGAUUUCUACGAGCAAAGGAGCAUCCAGAUCAAAUACGCAUCAGUGGCACACCCAAGAGCUAAUGGCCAAGUGGAAAGAGCCAACGGAAUGAUACUGGAUGCACUCAGAAAAAAGGUAUUCGACAAGAGCGAGAAACUUGCAGGGAAGUGGAUCAGGGAACUGCCAUACGUGGUCUGGAGCCUACGAAUGCAGCCCAGCCGAGCUCUGUAUGGAAACACCCCGUUCUUCAUGGUGUAUGGGUCAGAGGUAGUGUUGCCUGCCGAUCUGGUCUUUGGGGCGCCUAGGCUGACCUUUGAAAGCAUGGCUGAGGCAGAAGCAACCAGGCUAGAGGACAUUGAUGUGCUGAAGAGAACGACUAAACAUGGUAAUCCAGUCGGCCAGGUACCAGUAGACUUUGAGGCGCUACCAUGACAAAGCUGUGCGACACUGAUCCUUUGCAGUAGGAGACUUGGUCCUCCCCCGAGUACUAACGGGGGAGGGGCGGCACAAGCUAUCACCACCAUGGGAAGGGCCAUUCGUCGUAGCAGAGGUCACGCGGCUGGGAUCCUACCGGCUCACUCAGAUGGACGGCACCGAGGUGGGGAACUCAUGGAAUAUCGAGCACCUCAUGAAGUUCUACCCUUAGUGAUACCUCAAAAGUCUCGAGGGCAAGUUGUACUCUGUAAUCAGAAGAUUUCAUCAUCAAUAAAGCUUUUAUCUUCCAAAGGCAUUCAAACUCUUGAUUAACAACUGACUUAGAUUGGGCUCGACUUGAAAUCAGCAUGACAUGACGUAGGGUGAUCACUAUACGCUACUAACGGAGCAAUUGGCUUAUGUCGGAAAUGCCUUAAGUCGGUGCGACAUGCUCACGCUUACAUGACUUAGGGUGAUCACUAUGCCCUACUAACGGAACAAUCGACUUAAGUCAGAAACGCCUUAAGUCAGUGCGACAUGCUCACACUUACAUGACUUAGGGUGAUCACUAUGCCCUAAUAACGGAACAAUCGGCUUAAGUCGGAAAUGCCUUAAGUCGGUGCGACAUGCUCGCGCUUACAUGACUUAGGGUGAUCACUAUGCCCUACUAACAGAUUAAUCGGGUUUAAGUCGGUGUGACAUGCUCAUGCGAAUACAAAUUAGGGUGAUCACUAUACCCUAGUAGCGAAAUAGCCAACUCAAAUUGGGAGUACUUCGAAAAAAGAAAUAUCUUGCUUAUAGUGCCAGGGAUGUUUUUUCAGCACCCUACCGACGGAACAAACAGUUCAAACAUAACUGUUGCACACAUACAGAACUCACAUUACACUUUUUCUCUAAAAUAUGCUAACUCGAUAAACAAGUGUUUUUCAGGCAAAUCAUUGCGCUGGAGUAUUCUUGUAGGAAGCAUCGUCUGCAGGAGCAACAGAAGAAGAUGGACGGCUUGCGGCAUCAGGCGUGGCCACGACAUCGGCGACAAUGUCUUCAGGCACCACGACGCCGGGCCUCCUCAUCAGGAUUCGCCCAUCGCGAACAGCCUUAUCCAUGGCCUUGUCGCACAUUGCCUUCAUGAUGACACGGUCAUCCUCCAAGGCCUUGAUAGUGAGGUGGGCGGCUUCCAACUCCUGUGUGACAAGCUUCUUGGAGGCACGCAACUCCUUGAUGGCGGAAUCUUUGGUGGACAAUAGCUUGCCGAGUCGAGACACCUCAUCCUGGGAUGUCCUCAGUUCAUUGCGAUGGUGGUCCAAAUCCGACAUGGUAAAGCGAUGGCUCCUCUCCAGAAUGGUCAAGGAGGUACAAGCAUCACGAUACAACCUGUCCAGAUUAUCAGAUUAUCACGCGAAGCAAUGAGUGCUCGUUUUUCCUCCUGCAAGCAAGAACAACACUAAGCAUUGAAGCAAGGGAAACAGAACAGAAGCAGCCAAGAAAGUUGACCUCAUGCACAAUCUUCUCGGAGUUGAGUUGUGCAUUCAGAGAGGAGUUCAAGGAGCGAGCACCAUCCAAGAAAGCAGAAGUUUGGCUUAAAUCGGCCUGGCUCUGGGAAUACUUCUCUUCAAUAUCAGAGCACCGCCGAGCCAAAUCUGAUAAAGCAGCAGAAGAAAAGUGCAAGAAUUAGAAUGAACCGAGUAAUGAAAGCAAAUAAGGAAACUAUGAGCUCACUAACCAAUAUUUGACGCCCUCAUAUUAUCUAUUUGUUUUUGAAGCAGUAGAAGGUUCCACUGCAUCAGAGACAAAACAUGAUGGGGACAGGAGCACCGCAGGAUCUCAGUUGGGCAGAUACACCACCAUGAACAUACAAUGAUUAUGAAAAGAUAAGCACAAAAUCUAGUUUGCCAGUGGGAACAGUAAAAAAAGCAAAAGUCGACUCACCUGAAGAUUGGAGAGGAACAAGGGAAGACCCAAAGCAGGAAGAGUUGAUACAUUGCUUGAUGAGGGGAGAUCAGCGGGAAUGAUAUCAAAGGCAUGACUUGGAGGAACUUCAGCCCCAUCAGCAGGCGGUGGACUCCUAGCAUCUGGUUCAAUGACCUCUAAAGUAACCAGACCAGCGAGAGCCGUAGAUAGAUGUGUCACCACAGACUCCUCAGAUUGGACGGACGAUGAUCCAACGUGGACGUCCAUGGAAGCAGCAGAAGGGGAACCUGCCCCAAUACCCUUAGGGGCUGGGUCACUCCCAACACCACCCUCGGGGGUUGGGUCCUCUGUGACAGCCACCUCUAGGGCUGAAGAUCCCUCGGCCACGUCCAUAGGAGCCGGGUGACUUGGAUCAGUGUCUUCGCGAGGAAGACCGCCCUCUAAGGUCGACGAGGCACGAGAAACUACCCGAGUUAUCUCUUGCCCGGCAGAAUCAUGCGGCUGAAGACCAUCAUCUGGGACCUAUGAACAGAUAAUGGGAUUGUCAGCUUCAGGAGGCUCUGAUAGAAGGUUUUCAGGGAUGAUCUCUUCCAGCGCUUGGUCAAAAUCAGAUAUUGAAAACCCAUGGAGGCUGACAAGCGCUGACAAGGCUUGUAUGGGAAUGUUGCUGACCCUGUGGCGACGACUAUUCUUUCGGAUCAGUGGAAUUUCUUCUUCUUCCUCCUCUUCCUCAUCAAGCACACCGCCAGCAACCUAAGCAUCAUCACAACCUCCAACAUUGUCCCCAGGGAUGGUGCCCGCCGGGCCAUCGCCAAGGAAGAAUGUGGAAGGGCCAGCGUCUUAUUACAGGCAUGAUAACCACCGGAGUCGCCUUUUCUUCUUCUCCUCGAUAGGUGUAGCUGGAUGGUUCACUCAGCGUGAACGCUUCCGACGAGCACCUUCUGGUUUCUGAAUUUCCUCGUCUUCGUGAAACUCUUGCCCAAUCGCAGUUACCAUCGGCUCAGUGCAGGCAUAGUCAGAUGAUUCUCCGGCCAGCAGGCUAAGAACAACAUCCAUCUUAGCAUCAUCGGUGCUAGAUAGCAUCUCGAAGUGAGUUUGCUUCUUAGCCUCGGGAAGAUUUUGGAGGGGAGCAAUUAAGGCCUCAAUGUCCUCUGAGGAGGAUCGCAUUCUAUGGCCCGGGCUACCAUCUCGAACAGGAGGAUUGGAGACAAAGUCAGAGAAGGGACUAUGCGGAGGCAGGUUCCAUGCAGAGUAAGAUAAGGGGGCACCAACAUUCGAAACCCUGCCCCUUAAUAUCAUAUCAAGUCGGCUUAGCAGGUCCUCAUUGGGAAUUUGCCUGUUAGUGACUCGGGUAGAAUCGUUGACACCAGUGUACAAGUAAGCAGGUUAGACUCUGUCCUUCAAAGGUUGAAUGUUCUUGAAGACAAAGUUAGCAACUACGGCUUCGGCAGUCAGGCCUCUGUCCUUGAGCAAGCAAAUUUCAGCAAGCAACACCUUGGCUUCGGCUACCUCUGAAUAAGUGGGGGACUCCAGCCAGCUGGGCGUGCGAAUGUCGGGCUGCCUUCCUAAUCGAGGGGGAGGGAUUUGUUGUGAUUCUCCAUGGUGAACCACUCGAGGCGCCAUCCCUUGAUGCUGUCCUUGAGGGGGAUGUCAAGGUAUUCCACUUUCCUCCCCCGGCGAAGCUCCAAACUAGCACCACCGAUGAGCUGAUGCUGUCCUCCAGCCAUACCAGGCCGACAGUGGUAAAGAUACCUCCAGAGUCCAAAGUGGGGGAGAAUUCCAAGAAAGGCCUCACACAAGUGUACGAAGAUGGCAACUUGAAGAAUGGAAUUGGGAUUUAAAUGUAUAAAAUUUAAAUCGUAAAAGUCAAGGAGACCGCGGAAAAAGGGAGAAACAGGAAGAGCAAGUCUGCGGAUGAGGAACAACACAUAAACAACGGCCUCAUGGGUGUCCUCUGUCGGAACAGUGACCUCGCGUCAGAUUUGCCAAGAACACAGUUCUUUCAACGACAAAACCCCAGUCUCCACAAGAUGCAAAAGAUCUAAUUCAGAAAUUAUGGACAUGUGAUUACCAGUGAAUGGAAGCUGGCUGUUGGGAUCGAUGGACGGAAUGAUCAGAACGGCGACGCUCUGUCUCUUCCGCUUGGGAGCCAUUGCAAUCUCUCGAGCGGAACGAGCGGGCUCAAGAAUUUAAAAAAUGGUCUAGUUACUUUAGAGAAUUCAUCGCCUACCAAUUGUAACAACAUUUGAUGUAAAGUAGAAGGUACACAUUGAUUAGCAUGAAUCCAAUCUCUGCCUAAGAUUAGACUAUAAUUUCCUUCUACAUCAGUGAUGAAGAAUGCGGCAGCAAGGGUCUUGAUCCCGAUGGUUAAUUCAACGGACGUGACUCCCUUAGCUUUGAUCGAACUAUCAGUCCCAACACCACUGAGUGUCAUAUUGGUCUUGACCAAUUCAUCAUCUCGCUCUCCUAGUUUUCAGUACAAUGACUAAGGCAUUAAAUUUACGGUCGCCCCUCAAUCUACCAACAUCUUAGCAAUCAGUAUUCCAUCAAUAUGAUCGCGCACGAAGAGCGGCUUUAAAUGGUUGACCGAUUCUUUUGCUUAGUGAAGGCGGCCUAUUUAGGACCAAAAUCGAAUUGAGCAACGACAGGUUCAUCGUCGCCGAUAAUAGUACAAUCGACGGAGAACAUAAUAACAUUUACGUCCAUACCUGAGUGUUCCGUCGUAGCUCCGAUGUCGACCAAGUCCUCUCCCAGCAGGUCGUAAUCCUCCAUAGGUGUUGGCAUGUCAUUGGAGGUGUCCUGGUGCAGAGCGGACGGGCCGGGCUCGAGGGUUAGACGGUCCGUGUCAUCCGCGAACGAUCCGACCUUUAUAGCCGGACUGUUUGUCGUACCUGCAGAGAGAUGUAAAGUUGUUGUAUCGUUUUUUUUAUCUUCGUGGCUGUUUGAUUUACUUCAACGGCCUUUGACCUCCACCUCUUUUGCGGUGGUGGGGUACUACGGAUGCGUGUCAUUAAAUAUUUUUUCUGCUUCUUUUUCCUUGCUCUCAAGCGCUGCAAUUUCACUUUUGAGACUGUGUCAGUCCCGAUGGGCACAAUUGGGGCAUGGGGUAUUUUGGGCCGGCUGUUUUGCUAGCAGCCAUGUCUUCUUCUUCGCCAGUAUGGGUCGAUUUACCAAAAAUCACCAACCAUUCAUUAUUUCCCUGUAUGACGACAUCUGUUGUACCUAUUUUGAUGAUGUCCCCUUUUGUCGUCCUCUUGGUGGCUAUAGAUAUAUGCCCCAUGCCGGAUUGGUUGGCCUUUGCGGCCAAAUAGUCCGGCAAUCUUGCUGGACCUGUGCCUGGUGACCGGAUUGAGUGAAAGGGAAAUAGGGUUUAACCUUUUCCUAUAAAUGAUUUUGGUGGUUGAAUGCCCAACACAAAUAAUUGGACUUACUAGUUUGCUCUAGAUUAUAUUCCACAGGUGCAUAAAGGUUCAACACAAACCAAUAAAAAGAUCAAGUUAGGGUUCAAAAAGAAAGGAGCAAAGAAACCCAAGUGUGCUCUGGUCUGGCACACCGGACUGUCCGGUGCACCAGGACCGUACAAGUCCAAACUCUUCACCUUCGGGUUUCUGCAGCGCCGCUCCGCUAUAAUUCACCGAACUGUUCGGUGUGCCACUGGACUGUCUGGUGCACUAAGCGGAGCAACGACUACCGGCACAACAGUCGACUGCACAGUGCCCCUGACAGUGCUACAGUUCGCGGUAGAAGUCAGAGCAGAGGUCAAAGGUGAGAGCACCUAGAGGGGGGGUGAAUAGGUGAUCCUAUAAAAUUCAACACUAAAUAGCCACAAAACUUAGUUAUAGAAGUGUUAGUGCGACUACGUAGUUGAGAAGCGAGUUCUUGUGGACCAAACAAUCACAGAGAGGGCAAUCACAAGAGACAACGUGAUUUUAUCCCGUGGUUCGGCCAAGUAACACUUGCCUACUUCCACGUUGUGGCGUCCCAAUGGACGAGGGUUGCACUCAACCCCUUUCAAGUGAUCCAAUGAUCAACUUGAAUACCACGACUUUCUUCCUUAUAGUAUUCUUCCUGUUUGCGAGGAAUCUCCACAAGUUGGAGCCUCUCGCCCUUACAAUAUUGAUCACAAAGAAAGCACGAAGUAAGGUUGGGAGAAGCAACACACGCAAGACUCAAAUACGCAGCACACCCACGCACACAAGUGAAGACUCGAGCUCAAAUGACAACAAAGGGAGUUCAUGACUCGAAUGGAGCUCAAAUCUCUAACACAACAAAGCGAAUGCGCGGGAGCAGAGUCUGGAUGCCUUAGAAUACUUAGUGAAUGCUUGGGUAUAUCCUCCAUGUGCCUAGGGGAUCCCUUUUAUAGCCCCAAGGCAGCUAGGACCCGUUAGAGAUCAACAUGGAAGGAUAUCCUUGCCUUCUGUCAAGUGGCACACCGGACAGGUCCUGUAGACGGUCCGGUGCGCGAUUGCCUUCCAAAUCGGGCAUAGAUGACCGUUGCAGCUCCGGGCUUGCUGGCGCAUAGGACACUGUUCGGUGCACACCGGACAGUCCGGUGCCCCCUGCCGACCGUUGGAGCUGCCACGCGUCGUGCGAAGAUUGGGCGGCUGACCGUUGGCGCCGGCGACCGUUGGCUCACCGGACAGUCCGGUGCACCACCGGACAGUCCGGUGAAUUAUAGCCAUGUCGCCCCUUUGCUUUUCCCGAGGGUGACGAGUUCACCGCAGAUGACUCACCGGACAGUCCGGUGGACCACCGGACGGUCCGGUGAAUUAUAGUCGUACGCCGCCGUCGAGUCCUGAGAGCGGCCUUUUCACACGGACCAGCCUGGCGCACCGGACAGUCCGGUGUGCCAAGCCGAGCUGGAGUUGGCUGCAUAGAGCCAAGUCUUUUUCCAAUUAUUUUCUCCCUGUUUUUAGUACUUAGACAAAAUAUGUUAGUACUCAAAACAAUGUACUAAGUCUAGAAAUAUACCUUUUUCUUUGAUGUGCACUUCUCGCUUUAUUUUGCACAUUAGAACUCAAUUAAAUGUGUUGGGCACUUAAUCACCAAAACAUUAUAAAAAUUGCCCAAGGGCACAUUUCCCUUUCAAUCUCCCCCUUUUUGGUGAUUUAUGCCAACACAACCAAAAGCAACCAAAAGAAGUGCAACAUCAAUGCAAUUGAAGACCAAAUUGUUUUUUACUAUAAUUUGGCAUAUUUGGAUCGCUCUUUGCCACCACUUGGUUUGUUUUUGUAAAUUAAAUCCUUUUUCCUAUCUCUAAGUCAAACACACUUGUUUGGGCAAAUCAAGAGAUAUUCCAAUGGAAAAAUUGAUCAAGUACCAAACUCUCCCUUUUUCCCAUAAUAAAAAAUUCUCCCCACAAGAGACCAAAUUUUGCAAUAAGAGUUUUUCGGACAACUCAAAAGUUCUAACUCUAUUGUUUUCAAAAUUCACAAGUGGUAGCUGAUCCAUUUGCUUUGGCCUUAAUUUCUCCCCCUUUGGCAUUAAGCACCAAAACGGGAUCAUUCUUGGCCCUUUAACCCCAUUGCCUCACCAAAAAUGUCAAUUAAGAGCAAAAGGCAAAGGAGACUAUAAGUAUGAACUUGGAGUUAAUUACACUAAUACCGGAGUGCAGUGGAAGUCUUUGCAUCGUCCAUGUCCACAUUUCCCUUUCCAUGCACCUUUGAGACUACAUCAAGUAUACUCAAACAAACAGAUUAGUCUCAAAGGGUCAAGUUGUAGCACAUCUUGUGGCGGAACUACCCGAAUUAUUCCGACUUAAGUGCCUAAGUCCCGCCUUAGAGGAAAGACCACACUUAAAUGGGAAUAACCCGUCAAUCCCUCGGAUCUAGUCCGACGAGGCCACUGACAGGAUCAAGUACCACAAUCUCACUCGAUGGUGAGUCACAGAGCAAAUACAAUAAAGCAUAAAACCAUACAUUAAGGAGUAUUAAAUUAUUACAUCACCAUCGGAGUUUUGCACAAGUAGUCAUCAUUGUUCGAAGUGCAGCGGAAUAAAACUAACGAUAGAUAAAUGGAGGGAUGGGGAAGCCUAUCCCAUCACUCCUCAUGCUCCUCCUCAGCCGAGGCGGGGUCCCACUCGAUAGUCCAACCCGGUGGCAAGAUGGAAGGCCAAGUCACUCCAGCAACCAUGUCCUCCAAAGAACCUAUAAAAUUAUGCCACAAGCAAGGCUGAGUAUACUAAUACUCAGCUAGACUUACCCGGUGUGAGGAGUCUACUCCUCUACCUCUAGACAUGCAGUUGUUUGGCUGUGGGGUUUGGUUGCCAAAAGCACUAGCUGAGUUUCUAAAUCAAGUUUUAACUUUGUCAAGUUUAAGUGUGACUCUCUUAAGGCUAAAUAUGUACUAACUACUCAUACAUAGUAGCAAACAUUUUUAGCAAUCAACAUCUUGUAUCAACUCAUCAUAUUUCCACUUGUUACUCAAUGUAGCAGCAUGGAUCAAGCAGUCUCAUUAGCUGCGAGAAGUAGACGAUUCGAAUCGAGUUUUUAUCCUUGCAAGGUAAACCUAAACACAUGAUGUGUAGGGGCACUCCGUCCCCACACAUCAACCGUCCCCAUCGAUUCCCUGGCAACAGAUCAGGGCUCACCGCCUUGGCGUACAAUGCCUCACUGACCCCGACUGCCGUCGUGCAGUGACUGCACUUGUACCCACCAUAACCGGAAUGGGAGACCACGUCUCAGGUCGCGUGAGGGGUAAAGUCUGCGGGCAGGUUCACUCAGGUACUAGGCUUACCGAUUUACCAUAUUUCUCGGUAUGUGUUUAGUACGUUUAAACGCUUGACUCAUGGUACCACACCUUAAUCUUUAUUCAAAUUUUUAUCCCGUGGACAACCAAUCCCCAUGGAUUGUUGUCCACAACCAGCAUCAUUAUGAGAAGAAAGUGGAUACAACCAAUUUCCUGACCUCGCGCGAGUGCUAGAAAAAUCACUCGACUUCUACUGAGAUCCUAAUUAAUAAAGCAGCUACCUCGACCUAGCAUACUAGUAUUCAUCUCAAAAGGAUUCCUGAGAUCAUGCAACUAGGGUUUCAAACAACUCCUACACCUAAGUGCACAAUCAAUCCUACAAUCAUUAAGUGUAGUAAAAUAGCAUAAAUAACAGGUUAUGCAUAAACCGGGGCUUGCCUUCCAAAGCAGUGGCAGGCAGAUCCUCUGGUGCAGGCUCUGGUGCUGGAUCCGGGGCUACCUCCUGAGCAGCUCCUUGCUCCGGCACGAGGACAUACUCUCCGUUAGCGAGGUUACAGUCUAUCGAAAUGCAAUGAAUAUGUAUGUCAUGAUUAUCAGGAUUUAAUAACAUUAUGCUAAAGGAAGAAAAACUAAGUUAGUUGGCAACUUAGGGUUUCUUGGUCAUACGUGGCUUUUAGUGGUUUAUGCUUAUCACUUUAGGUUUAGGUUUUGUUAAGGAUAAGCAUAGUGGAUUGGUAUUUCCUUUAUAUCUUUCAGUGGACAAUUUACAAAGGGUUUUAGGAUGACACUAAUUUCCAUUAUUCAUUUUCCCUUUCUUUAUUUUAUAUUUAUGAAUUCUAGUGUAGGUUUGAACUACAAUAGUGAAUUAACUUUUUCCAAAAAUUCUGUAAAAAUUACAGUGGCUUGCCAUUGGUCAAUAUAGCCUGUUCUAGGAAUUUGAGGUUCAAAAUAAAAAGGCUAUGCUUUAGACAAAAAUAACAAAAGUUGUGUAAAUGGGCCACUUUGCACUACAAUUCUUAACUAGGGGUGGGUUCUGUCCUAAAGGUUAUUUUUGUUGGCAUUUAAUAAUAAUAACAAACUUAUGUGCCAAAAAUCACAGAAAGCUAAGGGAGGGUUAUUUAGUUGUGAUUUUCCAAAGUUUAAUGCCAAAAAGGCACUUUCCACUACCUUGUUAUUUGAAAAAUGUCAAAUAGCAAAUUUCAUAUUUUUCCUAUGUUCUUCAUAACAAAACAUUAACUAUCCCAAGGGUUGGGGUGUUUUCACUCUGGGGUUAUUUUUGUAGGGUUUUUCUAAGUUUUCCUUGUUUUCUUAAAAUAAAAGGUAUCCUAUUUAUUUUAUACUAAACCAGGGUAUAAUAAAUUUUUCUAGUAAACUACACUAAAUAAGUAGACUAACAAAAAUAGGGGUGCCCCUGGUUCCUUAAUUAAAUCACCUUUCUUAUUUUCUUUAACUUUAAGCACAAUGUGAAAUAAAUGGCAAACUCUACCUUAAUGGGGUGUACAGAGGGGUUUAUCAUUUUUAAAUAGAUUAGUAGGUGGUCAUGCACUUCUCCAAAUUUUCUUAACCUCAGUUAAAUAGUGCAACUAUUUUUCUUUCUACUAUUUAGCUUUUGGCCAAAACCAUAAUUAAAUCAGAUUCCUAAAGUUUUCUGUAGCAUUUAGGGGUUUUAUAUUUUUCUUAAGUAGUUUAUAUUAUUUAAGAUCUAACAAAAUUGGUUUGACUCAAUUUGGAUGAAUAAAACAGAAGAUAUGAAUUAUUCAAGUUUUGUUUUAAUUUUAAAUCAGAUUUAAUAAAAGGUUUCCUAGAAAACCACUUUGCACCGGGGUCCUUGGGUUAUUUCCAAACUAACUCUCUCAGUUAUACCCCCGCGCUACUAUUUCUCUGAGUCACUGACAUCGCGCAAAACCCCCUAGCUUUCUCUUCUUCUCCCCCACGGUCCCUCCAUAGGUCUAAACAGUACCCGCAAGAAAGAAAAGGGCGACGCGACUUACCAGCGGUGAGAGAGGUCCGGUGAGGGGCGGGGUUCGCUCCGGGAGGUCCUGGCGGUCACAACGGUGUACGGCUCGACGGCGGGGGUGGCCGGAAUCGUUCGGUCCACGUGCGCAGGCGGGUGCUCUCGUCGGCGGCGGGUGUGCCGGCCAAACCACGACGACCUAGUUCAAUCCAAUGGCACAGUGAGCUUCACGGGGUGACGUAGAGGCUGUGUGCACAAGGAAUCGAAGAAUGGAGCAGAGGAUUACCCGGACUACGCUCGCCGGCGGUCGGGUGGAGUCCGGCGACCGUGGACUGGCCUCUCCAGCGAAGCAAACUCCGAUUCCUCGCUCGGGGAGCUUCACCGAGGUGUGCUAAGUCUUCUCCGAGGGCUGGACGGGGUUGGGAAGGGUUCUGUUGGCCGAUCUACGGUGGCAGGGGGAUCGGGCGGCCGCGGACACGCCGUGCACGGGCAAACGCCGGUGGGUUUGGGCUCCGGUGAGGUCGAGCGCGUGCGGAGAGGUACGGUCAAGGUCCCUGGGUGCUUUAUAGGCGCGGGCGCGGGCCAUGGUGCCGGCUUGGCAUUGGCGCGACGUGGGGCACGCGGGGGCGCGCGAGGGCGUGCUCUGUUGAGCUCAGAGCGCGUCGAACACGUGGCUCUUUGCUUCUGCCCGUGUUCUUCCCUCUGCUGAGCGACCAAAAUGUACGAAUCUUGCCCUAGAGCCUGUGAGAGAUCUCUUCCCUGCACCUAGAGCUACCUAGUUCAUGUGAGUUCCAAGGGUAGAUGUGGUCGGGUUAGAGAGAUAUGGGGGUGGGAAGUCGGCUAUGUCAGAGAUGUCUAAACCGAGACAAAAAUGGUGCCAAGUCAUGUCAAACGUCUUAGGGUAGGUGUCAACUUUUUCCAGGGCAUUCUAGGGUUAAUUUGGCGCCACUUUGUCAAUUGAGUCGAAGUGUUUUGAAGUUUGAAUGAGGGUGCACAUGUGUGGUCUUUGGCCAAAGGUUAGUUUUGGACUUAGGCAAUUUCUGAUUUUUCUUUUGUGCUCAAACCUUUGGUGAACCUUUUGGGGCUUUUCUGAAAUCUUUUUGGGGUUACUUUCUUACUAUUAUUUGUAGGUUAUUAAGUGUACUACAACUUUUAUAUUUGGCCCAAGCCAUGAUCAUAAAGUUUUCAUGACCUUUUGGUCAUACUUACACCUAGGGUUCCCAUUGUCCAAAGGGGUUUGCUUUAGGGUUUGGGCAAUUCUCCCCUUUAGAUGUGCAUGAUAAGUUAGGGUAUGAUAUCCAAGAUGGGUUGCACUUGCUUAGGACCUUGAAUUCUAAGUUUGAUGUACUUUGCUCAAACUAACCCACAUGUGAUAGUAGGUUUAAAUGGUGCAGCCCUGGGUGGACAUCCUGAGUAACACCUAGGGUGUUACAGCCCUCCCCCCUU
rnacentral:lncRNA from 1 species